rnacentral:lncRNA from 1 species
UAUAUAUAUGUUAACCAGGGUUGGGUGAAGUCUUAGCGUAUUUGGGGUACAAAACUUCUAUAAAUGGCCGCUUUAUAUUGAUCGUGCGAACAAGCCGAUGUGAAUGCAAAGUUGAUAAUCAAUGACUCCCUCCGUAAUAUUUAUGUUAAUAAUGUAGAUUAUCAAUGAAGAUGUCACUGUUCAUGAUUCUGAGGGAAGAGAAAUUGAAUCACAGCUUCUCCCACUAGAUGAUGCCCAUGUGGGCUUAAGGAACUACUAUGCUAAGGCAUACUUGGGUCAAACUCCAACAAAGACACCAAACUAUUGGCUUGCGUUUACAGUAUCCGUGCCACCACUCGGUUUCAACACAUACACUAUCUCGCUUUUGGGUAAAGGUGCUGGUUCCACCAGAUCAUCUGUACAGACAUUUCAAAGUAGGGAAGAGUCCACUAUUGAAGUUGGUCAAGGAAAUGUGAAACUCACGUUUUCUACAAAUCAAGGCAAAAUGACUAAAUAUGUCAACAGAAGAAGCUUGGUAAGUAUGCACCUAACAGUUGCGUAGAUACUAUACCUGAUGAUUGCAUUUCCUUCUCCAAUUGUAUUUCCUUUUUACAUAUUUGUUUUUCAUUGGUGCGAUUCAGUAUCAGGUUAUCGACGUUGUGAUAGCUCUGUUAAUCCAACUGCCAAAAACGGCAAUGGAAUAGAAAACAAAAAUUGUUGUAGCUAACUCAACUAUUCAUUCCUUUUGAAGGUUGAAGAAUUGGUCGAACAGUCUUACGGUUUUUAUAAUGGAUAUAAUGGCAGUGAUGAUAAAGCUCCUCUGAUUCCUCAGGUAUAUAAAUGCUGAUAGAAGCUAGUGCUCUGUUGCAAUAUUUCUUAUUUUCUAUUUUUAUGUUUUUAAUUUGAAGGACAUGAAAACUGAUUAUUAAGUGACCCUUUCUAUGGUAUCUACUUGUUUCGAUAUAAAACGCUUUAUUGUUCUUUUUUUUAAAUUUUUCUAGAAUGCCGGGGCAUAUAUCUUCCGUCCAAAUGGCACGUUUCUCAUAAAACCUGGAGAAAAGGUGUGUACUUUUACCUUGUGAAAUAUAUUUAGACUCAGGCAUAAGUUGGGAGAUUGUUGAUUAGCAACUGUUGUUUAAAAUUUCAGGCUUCUCUGACUGUCGUGCGUGGACCAGUAAUAGAUGAAGUGCAUCAACAAAUUAAUGCAUGGAUAUAUCAGGUGCCUUGCUUGUCAAGUGCUUGCUAUCUCUGUAUACGUUUUCUCUUUGUUCUCUUGCAGCAACAGUAGCAUCAUUAUUAUGUUCUAAAAUAAAAUCUCAGUAAUGUUUCAUUGGAUGUGUGUACAGGUCACCAGAAUUCACAAAGAGAAGGAGCAUGUUGAAUUCGAGUUUAUUGUAAGUUUACAAAUAAAGACAAAAAGGAAAUAAGAAAGUUCGAAUAAAAAUUGAAAAUUAUUAUUAGGCCUGUUCAUUGAAAACGUUUGCAUAUUCAGGUUGGGCCAUUACCUACUGAUGACGGAAUUGGCAAAGAAGUUGUAACUCAACUAGCCACUACCAUGGCUACCAAUAAAACGUUCUACACUGAUUCUAAUGGGCGUGAUUUUAUUGAAAGGGUACACAAAUUACUUGCUCUUACAAUAUAUUAUCUAGUAGUUUUGAUAUCAUGUUGAUGCUCAAAAUUUAUUUAUCUUGUAGACUUAUAGUUUUAUACUUUUAGAAAGCUAUCAGAGUGCCUCUUAGGAGUUAAUACGCAUUCCUAAUUAUUGUUGGCAUAUAAUAAUGCAAGGAUCCCUCUCUUUUGCAGAUUUGCGACUAUAGAACAGAUUGGGACCUGAAAGUGCACCAACCUAUAGCCGGAAAUUAUUAUCCAGUAUGUUUAUUUUUCCUUCCUCAAAGUAAACCUCCUUUUUAUGUGGCUUUACGGGGGCUAUUUCUGUUGGUCUUAUUAACUUUCAGUAAAAAAACUAGCAAACUGAGUUGAAGUUUGUAUCAACAUUUGGUUUGCACUUGCACAGUGUUGUGCAUAUGGCUGAAAGAAUACGGUGUCCCACUCUUUAAUUAGUAGAAUUUCAUGAAUUGUAAGACAUGAUAGUUCUGUUUCCACUAUAUUCUUUUAAAUAGAACAAUAAUUUCUCCGUCUCAAGAUUUUCUAUAUCAAAUGCAUAUGUUUCUUUAUACAUAUUUUGGCUCCGUUGCCAUCCGGUAGUCAUUGGAUAGGUGAGUGUUGUACUAGUUAUUAGCUUCACAUGUUUUUUUAUGUUGUCUUUGCAGAUUAAUCUUGGGAUAUACAUGCAAGAUAACAGUACAGAAUUUUCGGUUUUGGUGGAUCGAUCUAUAGGAGGGUCCAGCACAGUGGAUGGACAGAUAGAGCUGAUGCUCCACAGGCAUGUUUUUAUUCUUCAAUAAGAUUGACAUUCAUGAAUGUAACUUUUUCAUAGAGCAUACAAAUUAAAGUCAUGAUUGGGAUUUCCUUGUUUCUCUUACCACACAGGAGACUACUACUUGAUGACUCAAGAGGUGUGGCAGAGGCUCUAAAUGAAACUGUCUGUAUUGACAAUGUUUGCAGUGGACUAAGAGUAAGUGCAUGCUACCUGCUUUGCAACGACUACUGUGCGGUGUUAUAGACCAAACUGGAGUUUUGGUUGCGACCAUAUCUAGAUGUGGUAUAACUAUUUUGACUAUCCUAAGAGUUUAAGGUUGCCUAACUUUUGUGUCCACCUCUUGCUUCUGUUAAAACUUAUCAGAUCCAAGGAAAAUUUUAUUUCAGAAUCGACCCCCUGGGAGAAGGUGCCAAGUGGCGUCGCACUUUUGGUCAGGAGAUAUAUUCCCCUCUUUUACUGGCCUUUUCUGAACAGGUGAAAAUAUAAAAUACAAAAAAACGAAAAGACAUUUAAGUUUGGUUUUAACCUUGUGAGCUGCUCAAUAAUAGGUGGCUCCCUUUCUGUAGGAUGGAGAUAACUGGAAGAAUUCUCAUGUAACCACUUUUUCAGGGGUUGGUUCCUCGUACAGUUUACCUAAUAACGUCGCUCUUAUAACUCUUCAGGUAACUUGGGGCUUAUCUAGAAUUUCGGAUGUUCUUUCUCUUUAGCUUUUUAAUUUUAAUUUUACCUAGUUAAGAAUGGGGUCCAAUUCAACUUUCCUAGAAUAUUGAAUCGAAACCACAACGAUAGCAGCAGAAUACAGACUUGUGAUAUCCUGGUUUCUUUAAUUUGCAUAGGAGCUUGAUGAUGGAAAAGUUCUCCUUCGAUUAGCACAUUUAUAUGAGGUUCUAAUCUCUCACUCGUUCUACUUCAACUAUCUAUUUCUGCUCUAGUACCUCAUUCAUUUAUUUAUAAUGUACUCUGUUAGAGCCAGCAUCUUCACUUCCGAUCCUCCGCAUUUUAUUUACUACUAUUGUUUUUUCUUGUUCAAAAUUGUGCUCAGAUUGGAGAGGACAGGGAUCUUUCUGUAAUGGCAAAUGUAGAGUUGAAGCAGCUCUUCCCCAGGAAGAAGGUAAAAGAAAGAGCCACAAACAUUAACCAGAGUUCAUUAUUGAAUUCUUUUCUUAUAAUAUCGUGCUUUUCCGGUACAGAUUGGUAAACUUACAGAGAUGAACUUAUCGGCAAAUCAAGAACGGACAGAAAUGGAGAAAAAGAGACUCAAUUGGAAGGUGGAAGAAGGCUCUUCAUCAGAAGCAAAGGUUGCGAGGGGUGGAACUGUUGAUCCUGCAAAACUGGUUGUGGAACUUGCACCAAUGGAAAUCCGAACCUUUCUCGUUGAGUUUAACCAAAGCUUCAAUCAUUAUUCAUUUGAUGCCUAACCGAAUGAGACUGAAAACGUAGAGGAGACUUGAGAGGCCCUUGGCUUCUGGAGUCCUGAGACUUUUUCUGUCAUGUAAAUAGACAUUGAGUUAUGUUUCUAGUGUUGAACGAAACAAGCAGAGGAAAAACGAUAAACGCGUAAAAAUCAGGGAACGAUGUGGUUUAUGAAAUGAGGUUGUACUAAGUAUUGAGUUGAUAAGCUACUAUUAAAUGGCAGCUGCUAUGUGACUUUUGAAACUCCUGCGUACAGAUUGAUCUUGAUGGCCUCUAAGAAAUGGAAGAAUAAGAGGCUCAUCAUGUACCCUCCCUAGUUAAUAGCUCACAAGAUUGCUCCUCUUCGCCCUCCCAUGAUUCCAUCUUAUCCACAUGCUUUGGUUGAGGGUCAACAGCCUAUGGUGCCUCAACCCCCUUUGGUUCAACUAUAUAUCAUCGACUUUUAUUCCUUCUAGUAGACAAGGUUGUACGGGCGCACAUGAGAGAUCCUUGUGCACCAUAUCUAUAAAAUCUACAAAAAGUAUCUUAAAAUUAAAGGAAAGUAAUUACUAACAUGUAACAACAAAGCUUAAAUACCACCAAAACUUGUAAUAAUAAUUGUUCGAUGGUAGGGAUCUGUUCGGCAAAACUCUACCGAAAAUUUCUUCAAACAUAUAGCUUAAAUUUGCUGAGGAAAGUCUACCGAAGCCAUCUAAGCCCAGGGGUUAAAAUGUAAUUGUAGCGGUGGCCGAACCGAUAUUCGGUGAAGAUGCUGAAGGAUAGAUUGGCGGGUGGGGUAUUUUUAGCGCCGCUGUCCGAUAAAUACAUGAAAAUAAUAAAUAGGGAAAGGCAAAUGCUUGACCGGUGAGCCGAUUAGCGAGAAGAACAGAGUUUUUGGAAGAAUUUUCAUGUCCAUCUUGCCCAACCAAGACCAAGGAUCUAUAUCAUCGUCUACCUCUUCAGCUCCCUCUAUAAACCCUAACUCCCAACAUGGACACCGCCAUCACCACGUUUCCCUUUCUCAAUCCCAAUCCCAGUCGCUGUCUCCGCCGGAUCCCUCCCGCCAAAUUCUCCAAUUUGGAUCGCUUCGGAUCUCCGACUCUCAAUCUAGCUCCUCCGCUACUUCUUCAGGUGUUUGAUUUUCAACUUCUUCAAUCUGUUUCUUUUCCGUUACCUUGUUUAUUAGAAAGUAAAUACCCUAGAAUUUGGGCAAAUUGGAAAGAAUCAAUCUUUUCUUGGAUAAGUACAGCAGUUUGGAGUCCAUUAUUGAUCUUCGCUCUGCUUGAAGGUGUUUGAUUUUUACUACUUGAAAUAGAAUGUUGUUUAAAUUAUUCGUCUGCAGGCCUGUCGCCAUCGGCACCAGCUGCAGAAGAUUCUGGUGGAUCUUCCCAGCAGGUAUAUUGACUUUAUGUUUUGAAUGUUUCGUUUUUCUGCAGUACCCACGCUUGUAUGAUCUGAGAGAGCAAAUGAGUAAUGACUUUCAGUUCUUUGUCGUUGUUUGUUUCUUUUAUCUAGGUGACUGAGUUAGGGAUACCUUGGGGUAACCAGGCUUUACCCAAUAACCUCCACCACACACAUUCACAGUGUCACUCUGGUGGAGGUGGACGAGGGGUUGGAUCACCCUGGUCUAGAGGGAAAAGGUCAGGAACCGAUGGUUCUAGUUCAACUCAACAUAGUAUGGGGUCUGUUGCUUCUCAUGGAAACUCCACUCAUCAAACAGGAAAGAAAACCCAGCUGAUGAAUGGCAACCACUUGUUGAAUUUUUAUUAUGACCCCAUAUCUCGUCCUCAGCAUAGAGCUGCUCCUCCUUCUUCAAGAAGGCAACACAAGAGGAAGCCAUACAACAAAGAUCUAUUUCUUCAGGCUAACUACAAAUUCGUAGUGUUAGAUUCAGUAAACUACUCAGCUGAAGCGAUGGAUCCAGAUAAGGUGUUACAGUGGGAGGACAUCAUUUGCGUGAGAUAUUCCACCCCAACUGUGGUUCAGUGUCCCAUUUGUCUGGAAUAUCCUCUAUGUCCGCAGAUAACCUCAUGUGGACAUAUCUUCUGUUUCCCAUGUAUUCUGCAAUACUUGUUGAUGGGGAAGGAGGAUCAUAAAGGAGACUGUUGGAAAAGUUGCCCAUUGUGUUUUGUGAUGAUAUCCCCGAAGGAUUUAUACACUCUAUUCGUGGAGAAUGUUAAGCAGUAUUGUGUUGGUGAUACUAUAGAGUUUAUGCUUAUUAGUCGACAAAAGGAUUCAUUUACUUUAUCCCAUAAAAGUAAACAAGAGAAAGGUGCUGUUGGAGGUUGCGAUGAUGAAAGCUAUGAUCCAUUUUCAAAGUUUACAUUUACUUCAGAUGUAGAUCUUUCAGUCAGAAAAGCAAUAUCAGAGUUAGAUGGUUGGUUGGUCAGGGCAGAGUCGGGGCUUGUUGAUGACCUAGAGAAGCUUCCAUAUGUAUGUGCUGCAAUGGAACAAUUAGAACAGAGGAAGAAAUAUUGGAACGAGCACGGGGCUAGCAACAGUAAUAAAUCUUGUAAAUAUAAUAAUCAUAAUACUGGUUCCAUCUUGUCAACUGAAAAAGCUACAAUUGGUAACAAUGAAGCAUCUACAUUUGGACAGGCAAAUCCGUCCAAUGAAGUCUAUGACGGUAAUGUGUGUUCGGACAGUAUAUCUGUGGAGAAGUCAGAUGAUGGAACUUGUUCUGACCAAUCUGUGGAUGCAGCUGAAUCAUUGGAAGGCCAAGAAAAUGUUUUUUCUUCUUCAUAUGAUGAAAGCAACAGUGCCCGAGGGGACUCACAUGACUCUGGAAGUGUAAAGGAGAAGGAAUCAUACAAUUUCUACCAGGUGACUGAUACUUAGAUAUCAUGUUUCCCUUUUGUCUUUUGCAAUUAAUUUCUACGGUUCACAUUUUACUAACCUGCUCAUUUCUAUACAUAGUAAUUGCAACUAUCUUUGUCUUGUUUGCAACAGUUGUUUAACUUUUUAAAACUGGUUUCCUACUGGUUUGUAUUUGGUGUGUUAGUCGGUCAUGUGCUCCUUUCUCUCUCUUUGAACCUUAAGAUUGAAGAAAGUUUUCAGUGGUUUAGCUAUUUAUAUUUUAUGUCUCUAUAUCAGGCAGCUGAUGGUCAGCACAUCAUUAUUCAUCCGUUGAACAUGAAAUGCCUUCUACACCACUAUGGGAGCCAUGAUAUGCUACCACACAGGUAUGGUUGAAAGUUUACUGAUUGUUUCUGUUGUAUGGAUAGAAUAUGCAAAAUCUAUUAUAAGGGCCCCCUUUAUCCAGAAGGAUAUUCUUCUAUAGGAUGCAUAUUCUUUACAGUUCUACUUGUCUGACAUUAGAAGACGGUAUUUGUAUCAGUGCAGCAGUAAAAGAGGGGAGGUGAGGGGGUGGGGAGUGCCCUUUUAUUAAAUAUGGGGUCUUCUUAUUUCUGAAAUGUGAAAAUGGGUCAAAUUCGUUAUUGCAGGGUAAGUGGAAAAAUUUUGCAAUUGGAGACUGUGACUCAGACAGAAGCUAUGAGGAGGCGCUACCGCUACUUGAGUCAUUUUUCUUUAACAACAAUACUCCAGGUAGCUUUGAUACAUGAUCCGAAUGACAUCACACUAUAAGAGCAUUAUUGUUUCAGGUUGCGCAUAGUAUCUAAUCACUAUACACUCACAUUUCAGUUUUGUGAGAUUGAUCUCAGUGAGGUAUUGUCUCCUGAUGCGUUGUCUCCCUUUAUGGAAGACAUAAAGAAGCGUGAACAGAAAAGGAAGCAACUUGCUAGGAAGGUAUUAUUAAUUGCUUCUUCAUUAUAUACUGUAUAAAAAUAACAUUAGUUUGUUCAUGCUUUAAAAUUAUAUGCUAUUCCUAUUUAUAGGAGCAAAAGGAGAAAAUGAAGGCUGAAUCUACCAUGGCAUAUCCCAUCCCCAUAGUAGCAGGUUAUGGGCAAUCCUUGCAUGAGGGAUCCCCUACAUUUUCCAUGGAUGACUUCGAGGGUAAUAUAAUGUUCCUUGUAUAUGUUGUAUAUGUUGUAUAUAUUUAGAUGCAUGACCUUUUUUAUGUAAAUUUAUUCCACUCAAGCAGUACCAUUGGGUUGUUUUGGAAUAAAUGUAUUGUCCAAAUAAGGAAAAACAAAAUUGAAGUAUGGUGUGGCAUCCUAGUUCUGAAACCUUCAGCAUUUCUGGCAUACUAGAUCAGAGUUUUAUCUUGUUGUCCUAAAGCCUGCAAUGCAUUCAAACAUUUUAAGUUAGGUGUGCUUGAAAACUAGGCUUCUGAAUUUUUUGUUAUUGUUUAUUGUUGAAGUUUGCAGAUUCAUAUCUAUAUGUAUGUUUGCUCUAAGCUGUUGUAUUAAUUAUUACCCCUUCUUGUUGAAGUUUGCCGAAGUAUAUUUGUAUAUACUGUGCUCUUAUUUUAAAUAUCAUUUAAUAGUUUAUGCAUAUGCUUCCUGUUUUCAGCUUUGGGAAGUAGUACAGUGACAUCAUCAAGCCCUCCUGUUGUUGGGGAAAGGAAGCUCUUCUCGAGUGUUACAAAGCUUGGUUUUGCUGCUGCGCAUGAUUCUCCAGCGCUGAAACUAGAAGGAAGCAAUUCUCUGAAUGGCAAUGAUGCAGGGAGAGUCUUUCCCAAGACAAAUGGUAUUUAUGAAAAUCUUGUUAUGCUGGUUGUUUUUUCUGCUUGAGAUUAAACGGUUAUGCAAUCAAAUCUGGGGAAUAUUUGAUCAGGGUCAUACUAAGAUAAUAGUAUGUUGUAUCUCGAGAGUAGUGGUUGCUCAACCCUGUUUCAUGUUUUUUCUCCAUCAGCAGGUACCCAGAAUGCGGGUGUUGCGUCAUUUGCUAAUAUAAUCGCCAGAGCUAAGCCUGGUGAAAAUAUGGAUCCACCCAUGAUAAAUGAUUCGGGAAAGAAGGGAAAGAAACAGAGUCGAGUCCUUUUGUCAACCGCUAGUGGUCGGCGCUACUGAUAUCUAGUGAAAAUCUCGUGAACGAUAAUGGUGUCGUCUUGUAUCUAUUAACCUUUGAUGGCACAAAAGCUUGUGAAUGUGUGAUCAAUAUGUAGAUGGGGUAGAUGUAAAAAAAUAAGAGCCAUUACCGAAGUCCUCCGCCUCUUUUCUUGUGUUUGUUUUUGUAUUUUUUUCUAGCUAAUACAGAGACUCAAUAAAUGGUACGACUUAUAUGGAAGGGCUUCUUACAUUGUUCUUAAUGCGCAUGCAGAAGAUCUUUACCCACGUUUAACGGUUGCAUCUUUUAUAAUAACCGUGAACUUCAUGUUACCAAUUGGGUUUUGCCCAUGUAUAAAAUUGGAAUCCGUUGGUAUUUUUAUUCAACUUUCUAGGACAGUGUCCAAUGCUCGAAAGAUCACUUCCGUUCUCUAAUAAUUUCUUUUAUUAUUAUUAUUAUUAUUAUUAAAUUUUUUUUUUUACUUACUUAAUCUAUAAAAAUAUAAAAAGAAAAAAAAAAAGUAGUAAUUGCUGUGGCAUGUAUUCAAGGAGGGGGAAGAGAGGAGAGGAAAAUUGGUAAAGGGGGAGAAAUUUGUUUUUUAAGUAGGAAAGGGAUACUCUCCGGAUCCCUUUCUCCUAAUCUAUAAAGUUCGGGGAUCUGGACUAUUGAAAUUUAAUCCAACGACUAAAGUUAUUAUAACUUUUAAAGUAGGCUCCUGUUUAUAAUCGUUGGAUCAAAUUUCAAUGGUCCGGAUCCCAUACUUGGUGAAUUAGGAAGAAGGGAUCCGAACUCCCUUCCCUUUUAAGUAAUACUAACACUAAUAGGAAAGAUUUUCUAGAUUUUAUAAAAUUCAUAUACAUAAUCGACUAAGAUUUAUAAUGUCAAACGUAUCAUAAUUUUAACUACACCAAUAAAGUGAAAAUUUAAUGGAGGCAAAUUGUCUGCGCUCCUGUUUGGGUGCCCUUCUCAUCCCCUUCUAUUUGUAUGGUCAUUGUUAAGCCACGUCAACAUUUUAUAUUUUUAUUAUUUUUUGUCUUAUCAUCUUUAUAAAAAAAAUUAAUAUAGAAUGUUGACGUGACUUAACCGUAACCGUACAAAAUAGAAGAGGAUGAGAAUGGUAGCAAACAGAGGGCAGACAAUCUGCCUCCAAAUUUAAUAGAAUCGAGUACCAGUCAUGUUAUUAUUUUGAAUUAUAUAUAUGAUAGUUUCCUUGGCAAAUUGUCCUGGCUUGUAUCCUUCACUGAAUCACAAGCUCAGCCUCGAAUCUCGAGCUACUAGAACAGACUUGAUGCUGUUAUUGUUCGUUCGAGGAGUAGUAGUAGUGGAGCAAUGAGAAGUCACAAAGCGGCGUCGAGUAACAACCACCUCAACCGGCGGCCCACUAUACUCUACCUGGUUUGCGCCGUCGCCUUCUUCUCUCUUUUCCUUUUCGCCAUCCAAUCCUCUUUAUUCGCAGGUCCUCCCUCCUCACUCACCUUCAUAUCAUUUCCUUUAAAUCAAAACUAAACACUGUGUUUCACUCGUAAUUCCAAAUCUUUAGCAUUAAUUAUAUGUAUCCAAUCCAGGUAAUCAGAAGUUACAUCUCCACACUCAACAUGAUGUUCGGGUUUUAUCGGAAUUUCGGUCUACUGUGAAGCAAUGCGUGGUUAGUUUCUCUUAAUUUCCUUUAUUUUCACUCGAUCUGAUCCUGCCCUUUUUAAUCUGUCUUUUCCUUUAAAUCCCUAAUUCAAGUUGUUGAUUCAGUUUUAGCACUUCAAUUUUGCAUUUUUUUUGCGUUGUGCUCAUCUAAGAAAUAUUUUGUUUCUCUCCUUCCUUUCUUCAUUUUUCUGUAAUUUUGGUGAGUUUUUGUGUUGGAUAUGAGUUCUUACGAAGGUUAAGGUAAAUGUAGGCAAACAGAGGGCUUGGUUUGACUGCACACAUUAUCGACCAUUGCAAUCUGACUCUUAAGUUCCCGGAAGGAACUAACAGCACCUGGGUCCGUAUUCUACCCUUUACCUUCUCACCACAGUUUCAUCUUGAAUUCUUGUACUAUUCUGGUCUCCGAGUGCUAACUACUUGAGACUCGAAUUGCAGUAUAACGAGCAGUUUAAAACUUUUGAAGCACUCGAGUACCACUACAAUGUUUGCGAGGCACUUCUUUUAUGGGAGCAGGUUUGUCUCUCUGCUACCUUCUGUCUAAGUUUAAUUACCCCCUUAUGCCAAUUCUUUGUACUGAUGCUUUUUUAAGGAUGGAUGCAGUACCGGAACAUGACGACUGUAUUGACAAGGGAGUAUCUAGAUGUUCGGCCUAAAGGUUGGGAGGAGUAUGCAGCACAAAGGAUAGCACAAUUGUACGUUCGUCUACACAUUAUCUCUUCCCAACCUGUGCUUGAUUUCUGCCAAUAGAUUAUAGUAUACAAAUGCCUACGAACCUACACUCCAUCUGUUUUUUUCUUUCCUAUGUUUUUUUGGUUGUAGGGGAACUAAGAAAUGCUACAAUAAGACACUUUGUGAGGAACAUCUUAAUGUGAUACUACCAGCAAAGCCACCUUUUCAUCCUCGGCAAUUUCGCACAUGUGCAGUUGUUGGAAAUUCAGGAGAUCUUUUGAAGACGGAGUUUGGAGAAGAGAUUGAUAGUCAUGAUGCUGUUAUAAGGGAUAAUGAGGCUCCUGUUAAUGAGGUAAAAUAGCAUGUCUGUUUCGUAGCAUUGGUGAAUAUAUGGAUUUAUUCUUUCAUGACAGCCUUUGAUUCUUCUGUGGUUCUAAUUGGAACCACAGGUAUACUGUUACGUUCACUGCUUUUAUAGGCAAUAGAAGGAAUAAUAGGCACUAGUUUGGUUGAUAAAAUUCUUAUUUAGUCUUUCAUAUGUGUAGAAAUAUGCCAAGUAUGUGGGUCUGAAGAGGGAUUUUCGGCUUGUUGUAAGGGGUGCUGCUCGAAACAUGGUUGCCAUAUUAAAUGGGUCCGGUAUGCUUCUAAUAUUUUGUGUGUAUAAAUUUUUAUUUCUUACUUUUGUGUGGCCAAGUUAAGUUGUGCCUGCUGUAUUAGAUAAGUCCUAACCUUCGUGGCGCUUCACGAAAAGUUACUCAAGUGUGUUUUCAUAUUUGCAACUUUCCCUUCUUAUGCAGCUGAUGAGGUACUUAUAAUCAAAAGUGUUACACACAAAGACUUUAAUGCAAUGAUCAAGGUGAAGUUCACAUCUAAGGAGGCCAAUAUAUUUCUUUCUUUCUUUCUUUAGAAUAUAGUUAACACACCCCAUUUUCUGAGAUUUCACAAACAUUUUGGAUCCUAACAUAUUGCAGGGUAUUACAAAUCCAGUCUACCUUUUCCAAGGUAUUGUGCUCCGCCGAGGUGCCAAAGGAACUGGAAUGAAAUCAAUAGAAUUAGCACUAUCUAUGUGCGACGUUGUUGACAUAUAUGGUUUCACUGUUGAUCCUGGCUAUACUGAAUGGUUUGUUUCCUUUGGCUUUUACUUGAUACAUUGUUGUUAUUUAUUGGCUGGCAUUAUUAUAGCAAGCAAGGAACCUGUUUAUAUUCAUGCCUUUGCAUGUGAAUAUAAGUUUCUUUUGCAUUUCUGAUCACGCAGUGUUAUGGUUCAGUAGAUGCCCUCUAGUUUAUAUAUUAUUUGUAUCAACUCAGGUGUGACAUUGUUUAUAUGUCUUCUUAUGGCUUACCAAUUUGCUGCUUUAUUGUAGGACACGCUACUUCUCUACACCUAGGAAGGGGCAUAAUCCACUUCAAGGAAGGGCAUACUACCAGCUCCUAGAGUGCCUUGGUGUAAGAACAUACACAUUUUUUCUUUAUAGAUAUCGAAAAUGCAGGCGCAUGCCUGAAUUCUCAUCACCGAAUGUUUCAACUUUUAGCUUUUUUUUUAUAUGUCAGGUUAUUAGAAUCCAUUCUCCCAUGAGAUCUAAGAGGAAGCAAGAUUGGUCAGAUGUUCCAAGUCGAGAAAUGAUAGGCAGAGCUCAUGCAGCUGCAUUGCGAUUAAAGAGGGGUGAGGCUGGUGACUUGGGACAGUUUGGUAGUUGCAAGGUGUCCGGCAAUGUGGACCCUGACAAAGUUGGGCCUGUCUCAGGCUCUCCAGACAUGAGUGAUAAAAGAAAGUUUUCAAAUUACAAUAAAUGGGAAGUUUUGCCUUUCAAGAGUCUGAGGAAGGAGGCACAGGACCACUAUAUUCAAAUGGAAGGUGUUUCUCUCUACAAAAUGGAUGGCAAUAAGUUGGAUGACCUAGUAUGCGUGAGGCAUUCCUUAUCAGAUGUCUAGCCAAGAAAUAUCCUGUGUUUGAGUCUUUAUGGAUUUAACUUGGAUGGUUAAGAGCAGACCCAGCCGUGUGUUACCGGUUUCUCCUUGACUUGUGGAAUUUUCAGUGAGAUGGUCUUCAUCCCGGUGGAUUAUGGAGUGCGGCUUGUUUUACUUCUCUCGUUAUACUUGGAUCAGUGGUCGUGACAUGGGAGGAAUCUGAAGCUGCCUUAAGCAGUGGGAAAGAUGUCGACAGAAAUCGAAUUCUUGUAUUUUUUGGGUUACAUUUGUAGAGAUUUUUGGAAGUGGAAAGAUGUCUGGAAUACGCAUAUAAGGUGGCUUAAUUAACGUUUGUAAUAGAUUCUUUUCAGUACAUACUACAUAGAUAUUCAUUAUCCAACGGAGGAAUGUAAACUGAUUUAAGUGACAUUUUGUUUUAUUUGAGGAAAUUUCAGUGUCAUUUUGUGUAGACAAUUAAGCUUGUAUUUUGGGUUGUAUGGUUGUUUCGUUGAUGUUUGAGCAUCACCAUACAACAAUAUAUGACAUACGUUGGCGCAUCUUUCAACCAUACAACAAUAUAUGACAUACGUUGUAUAUUCAACUGCAAGUAUCAUUUAAUAUUUUGGAAGAAAAGGUGAUCCCGUCUCAUCUAAUGGUUAAGACAUCUGCUGCAUAACAUACCAUGGGACCCACUCACUAAUCUAUGUUAAGUACCUCUAGCAUCCAUGUCUUUUUACAAAAGGAACAUGCAGGAUGCAGCUGCGCGCUUCGCCUUCACUUCCUCAACCAUCCAUUGUUUUCCAAGUUCCAUAUGAUACGAGUCAUGUGACGGCACUUGGAUCGUCAAAAGCGCUCCUCAAAUUUAAAACUCCAACUCCAAGAGUGUAUGAAUCCCCAAAACCGUUCCUUAAUCCCAACCUCAACGCCCAGAAAUCCGUUGAUUCCCGUAUCGUUCGAUCCCCACACAUUCCGCUCCAAUUUUCUGGUCAAGAACUUCCUAAAUCGAGACAAUUGUUCGACCAAAUGCCUCACCAAAACACCAUCUCCACAAACAUGAUGAUUUCCAGCUACGUCGACUCCAGCAAUCUUUCCAAGGCCGACAUGCAUAGGUGGGGAACUAAGCCGGAUUAUGUGGUCAUCAGUUCUAAACUCGUGCAAAAUUCUUAAGAACCAAGAAUUGGCAGAGAGAGCAACAGACCGACUUUUCAAUAUGGCAAAGCUUAGCGAUGCAGGUGCUUAUGUCAGCAUGUCAAAUAUCUAUGCAGCAACAGUUCAGUGGGAGAGUGUUGGCAAGGUGAAGAAGGCAAUGAGGGAGAGAGGAAUCAGAAAGGCUACAGCAUAUAGUUGGGUUGAAAUCAAUCACAAAACUUAUGACCAGAGCCACCAGCAGAGUGUGAAGAUAAUGAACAAGAUUGACGUGUUGGCCUAGGAGAUGGAAAAGGAAGGAUACAAGCCAGAUACAAGCUGUGCCCUCCCCUGCACGACGAGGAUGAGGAAAUAAAAGUGAAGUCUCUGAAAUAUCACAGCGAACGCUUAGCAAUUUGCUUUUGCAUUGAUCAGCGCACCAGAAGGAUCACCGAUGGUGGUGAUGAAGAACUUGCGAGCUUGCAUGGACUGCCAUGCCGCAGUUUAAGGUGAUCAAGAAGAUUGUUGGGCGGGAAGUAACAGUUAGAGACUCAAGCAGUUUCCAUCAUUUUAGAGACGGGCUGGCAUCUUUCAUUAACACCAUGGCAUAAUCCUUAAGCCACAUUGAAAGUUUGAGAAAGUGAUGGGGAAAUGUUUCGCUCUUGCGAUUGUAGGUUUUUCCCGCAAAUCCUUCGUCCAGGUACCAGAACAACCAUUUAAUCAAAAACAAUUUUCACAAGAAUGACAAUUCUUUAUUUCACCAAAAAUACAAUUCAUUCCUAGUUAACUCCUUGCAACACAAGCAUUACAUCAUCCAACAUGAUACAAUAUUGGUGGCGAUGCCACGUCUUCAAUUCUAAGCUGACAGCCGAAGGGGCAGAGAUUUUCCCCAUAAAUGGUCAAACUAAUGACUAAAGCUGAAAAUCAUAAGCUGUUUAAACUAACAGAUCAUUUUCAAAGAAUCGAAGAAUUGAAUCUCGUUCAAUGUUGCUCUGACACUAAGACAGAACCAUUCUUGGAUCCACGUUCUACUUCAAAGAGAUCAUUUCCAAAGAAAGCCUGGUGGAGAGCCCUAACGCACUGCUCCGCUUCAUUGUCAUUUACAACCAAAGAGAUAUUAACCUGGCCGGUGGUAAUAGGUAAACGGUGAGUUCAUCUACCACCACAACGAUCAAAUGCAUAAACAUUUCAUAGGAAGUCAACUGUAACCACACUAUUCAUUCAUGAAUCACGUCCAAUGGAAAAUUAACCAGGAUUUAGGAGAGUGAGAAAAAUCACAGAUAGACACAAACAGUCAAAUCAAAAUUUGGCUUUCCGUUUUACUGUUAAUAGGAAAAGGGACAGAACUAUUGUUGCUAGGAGAUACCUUGGAUGCACCCUGAGAGAUCAUCUGAACAUUGACUCCAAUGGUUCGAAGAACCUGAAAUGCCUGCCACAUACGACCAAAAAUGUCAAUACCAAAAUCAAAUAUACAUGAACAAAGGGGUAGCUAAUGUUGACUGAACAAUUGCAGUCGACCAGAGAACAAAAGAAAUUUAGGGGACAUUUUUAACUACUUAGCAAAACACAAUACAGCACCUUCUCUAGUAUCAGUGAUGACCUCUGCACAUUUCCAAUGAGAGAUAUAAUUGAUCUGUGCUGAAGAAGAUUGACAACAGCAAUUUUCUCAAGUUCCUCCACAACAUGGUCAAGUUCCUGCAAGGAAGAUGCAGUAUUCAAUGAGAUUUUAUGUAACAAUUCCAUGCAAAAAUUGACUGGUCAACCAUCUUCACUUCAAAUAUGUUGUGCACGUGAUUGGCUACAAUUUUUCCAUAACAUGCACCAACAAGAAGGAACAUACAUAAAAUGAAAAAUCAUAAAAAAACACACGCAGACAAUUUAAUAAAGCUUAGAUGCAUGGGUCAAGUAACUCCAGAAAAUCAUAACCAGUAAGAGCAAAUGGAAGAUGAGAUCAUACGCUUGCCUGCUGAAUAAGCUCUCUGCUCCAAAGCUUUGAGGGAUCCAGUGUCAAGGAAAUACUAACUUCACUGGUAGCAACAACAUCAACUGAUAUGCCCAAAUCUUCGAAAGUUGUAAAUACCUACAUGGAAAAUAUUAUAAAUAAAAGCCACCAAGUUAUCAAGAGGGACAACCAACAGAAACAAGGUAAUUUGUUUUCUUCACCUUAGCAAGAAAUCCAUAUUGACCCAGCAUGCGAGUGCUAACAAUAUCCAACAUAGUCACGUUCCUUUUCAAAACAAUGCUUGUUAAUACAGCCUGCAAUAGAGACAGAAAAAUUCAAUGAAGUCUCGAGCAUUUUAUGACAGUGGUGCUCAAUUUUCCAGCAGACUACUACAAACCUUGCUCAUAUCUCUUGCAUGGGUAAUGACAGUACCGGGAGCGUUGGGGUUGUAUGAAUUUUUAACCCUCACUGGAAUAUCAGCCUCUCUGGCUGGUCUCAUGGACUGUGGAUGCAAGACCUGCAAGAAGGAAAGAAAAAUUAUUAAAUCAUGUUUUUUUUCUUGUUGAAAGAACACAAGUGUAACUAAAAUACAGGUGGUUUAAGAGCUUAUUGACUACUCCAAAGCACAACAAAUCAUUAGAACAGGAAAACUAAGUAUUUAAAGUCAGAAAAAAAAACCGGAUUAAAUAAGUUGGAGAACCUUGCACCUAAUAUUGGCACUUGUUAAUAAGAGAAGUAUUGCGGAUAUUAUCAACAUUUAGCAUCACUGUUGAUACCUGAGCACCAAAAUAUGCUAGUUCGGCAGCCUCUUCAAAUGUCAAAUAAGGUACAGGUUCAGCACGCGGAUAUAUGUUAGGAUCACAUGUCAAAACGCCAUCAACAUCCUUCCACACCUGUAAGACAUUGAAAAAUAGGUCAUAUUUUGCUACUUUUAAAAGAACUAGGAACUUGAGCAAAAUUAUUUUUUAUUCAAACACACCUGAAUUUCUCGUAACCCCAAUGCUUUACCAAGGGUUGUAGCUGUCAAAUCACUGCCACCUCUACCCAAUGUAGUCACAGCACAUGAUUUCCAUCCCUGCAACCAGAAAAACAGUGUCAAUGGUGUUAAUAGUUGAACCUUUUCAAAAACAGAAUACAUGUUGAAGUUAGCCAGAAGAGACACCUUUCCAAGGAAACCAGUAACAAUUGGAAUAGCAGGAUCACAUAUCCAAUCACCCUGUACCCUCUUUGCGACAGCUGGAUAAGUUGCCUCCAAGAUGUCCGCAUUUGUGAAGUCAUCUGUGGUUAUAAACCCAAUUUCAAAAGCAUCAUACUGCCAAAACAACAAACACGAUUAUAUUAACUUGCUAUCCGCAAGAAUGGUGCUAACAAACAAUUAGGAAUUCCUCAGAAAUUACAGCUGGAAAUUUGAAAUCACUUCCACAAUUACAUUAAAUUGGGAAAGAACAUACCUGGCGGGCUUUAACACCAAUCUUAUUCAGAUAGGCAGCAAAGAGCCUUGUGGACAUGCAUUCCCCAAAUGAAACCAGAUAGUCUUUUGUUCGUAAAGUCAACUCUUUCAUCAUAGCAAUUCCCUUCAGAAGUUGUUCCAGUUCUUCCAGGUGUGCUGCAAAUCAGAGAUAACAGGAAAAGCCAUAUAAAUCAGUAGGAUUACAAUGAACAAUGUAUACACAGCCAUGCUAACAGAACAGCCAAGGCUUUAGGCUGCUUAAAACUUUGGACAAAUUUGGACUUGCUAAUAUGCAAAACAAGGAUCAUAUUUUGCAUUAAAAAAACAAUGGACUUUACGUGCAGAUAAGAAAAGAAACUCACAUGAUAUGAUAGAGCUGUCCACUCCAAGUUCUUCCACGGUCCUAUUCAAAAUAGGAUGGUGCACAGUGAGGAAAUCAAAAAUUGAAUUAUUUUUCCUAAAACAUCGCACUAGAAAAAUAAAUAUUCCGCUGCACUCACCUGAGAUGUAAUUCUUUUAUGAAGCUCAACUCAUCAAUCAUAGAUACAUUGGUGACACCGCAAGUGACAGCCUUUUCUCCUGCCUACUCAUGAGCAACCAAUUUGACCAUCAUUUGUUGUUAUUCAUAAGAAAUGAAGGGAUAAAAGGUUGGAUGACAAUAUCUAAGUAAUAUUCAUAUAAUGUGGUACCAGUAAGAGUUUGUUAGUUGUCUUUCCCAUGGCAGAAAGAACAAUGACAGGCCUCUCUUGUGGGAAGCUGAGUAUAAGAUCAGCAACCUCUCUCAUUCUCUCUGCAGUGGCCACCGAGGAGCCACCAAACUUCAUGACGCAAGUCAAUUGUUUCUCAUUGUCACCAAGGCUUUGAUUGUCAGUCUGUUUCUUUUCAAGAACAUCCGCAAUUCCUCCCUCGCAACUGACUCUCAAAACCCUGCUCGUACAAGAAAAGCUUUUAGCACUUGCAAAGAAUCCAUUGCUGGAAGCGACACCAGUAGCGAAACGAAGACUUUGCGACCAUAGUGGUUGCUUGAAUCGCAAAGAUCUUUCUGGGGAUGCAGGGCACAGAGUUUUAACUCGGGAAAAAUGCAAGGCAGUUUCCAUUCUAAAAGAAGUUAUUUCGACGAAUGAUGUGAAUGGCGUACAGAGCUACGAACUCAAGAUCCCAACACAACCGGUUUGACGAAUUCGAACUUUUAGCUGCAGCUCAAUCUGCAAAAUUCCAUAACUUCACUGAAAAUUUUCUGAACUAAACAAACAGCUAAAACAACAUAAAGAUGUAAUUUCACAAUUUAUUUUUGUUUGAAGUAAAAGACAGAGAAGGAAUUAACUCAUUUGCAUUGAUAUUAAAUGCAUUCAUAUAUUAGAGAGGUUGAAAAGUACCUUGAGAUGAUUGGCAGAUCAAUGAGAUGAGAGCAAACCAGACGUAAAGCCUCCAAACCUACAACAAGGGAACGAGAGUGGUGGCAGAGGAGGCGGCAGAGGCUCUGUGGUCCGUCGUAGAUUCAGAGCAUUGAGAGGGGGAGCUGGCGGCGAAUCUCUCUCAAUACUCGAGGAAUGCGGAAGGAACACCGGAAAGACAACACACAACAAACAAACCAAACCAAACCAAACCCUGGCGGCGCCUCUUCUUUUUAACCGCGUUGUGUUAUGUUGUUUGUUGAAUGAACGAAUGGAAAUUGUGGAAUGCCCAACGUGUUUCUUAUUUUAUUUUAAUUUCUUUUUCAUUAAAUAAAUUAGUUCUCUUAUGUGUUUUCAUGUUUUUAUGAAAAUCGUCUCGUCGUUUUCAGUGGAACCGACGGUGGAGACUCAAUCUUUAUAGGUUCACAGGAUACGAGCGUUAUUGGCGGUUCGAUGAGGAUGGCGGGGGUAGAUCUCACGGUGGAAAAUGGUUAUGUCUUGAAUAAUUUCGUUGGUGAGCGCACUUAGUGAGGAAUCGAGACGCCGCUGACAGAAAAUGUGAGGUUGGCGAUUUAAAAAUAGAAAAGUUCAAUCUUUGACCAAAAUAAACAAAAGAAAUUCAAAUUAAAUUAAAUUUACUUGAAUUUAAGGUUUUUUCUUUCCAAAAGAAAAUUGAAAAACUGAAAGAAGUUGUAUCAAACGUGGACCAUUAUUGCCUUUGUCUCCCAAGGUGCGGUCCGCGUAGACACGGAUGUCGGCUGCUGUGUGAACUUAAUUUAUUUGGAAGUUACUUUUAAAAUAAUUAAAAAUAUUUUUAGUGAGAGUGUUGUGCUUUUUAUGGGAGGGUUCAUUUUUAGAAUUCAGCUGUAUUUUAACUAAAAUUAAUUUCAAAAGCGUUUUUAAUUAUUUUAAAAACGUUUUCAAACAAAUCAUUAGUACUGUAAUCUUCUUUGCCUUCUGGCACCAAUUGCAAAAGAAGAAGUGGGCUGUUUAUUCUUUCUCGGGUACUAAAUUGCAUCUCGAGUUUUAAGUUUGAUUUGAUCUAGCUUAGAGUAGUAACAUUGCUUAUAAAUAAAAACAAACUCACCAACACACAUUGUAGCCUACUGAUCAUAUCACUCAUGCAUGCACAAGUAAACUACAGUUGAGACGAAGAAAUUAACUUCAAGAGCUGAAGUUAGCUACUGAAGAUAACAGAGCAGUUUUGCCUGAUGAUUCUACAUAACAUAAUCCACUGCAACAAACCAGAUGAUAAAAACAACUAAACCUACGGACAUCGUCGGCUUACAUAGUUCGAGUUGAGCUCUAUAGGCUCUACCGAUGGAACGAAGAGAGGAGAAGAAAGCCGCUGCAUUUACAAACUAGCUACUCCAUUAGUUGAGUUGAGGGAGGUACAAACAAACCACACUACUAGUUAGUUAGUGUCAGCCUGCCAGCCUUCAUGUCUCCCAAUUGUAAGGCUCCAAUUUGUAUUGCUCGAGUAACAGUUACAUCAUCAUAUUAUGAAAUCCAGCUGAAUCCAAAAGUAGUGCUUUUAUUUGCUCUGGCAAGAACUGGUUUUCCAUGCAUUGCUGUUUAACAUACAAGGGAUUAGGUUUUGUGUGUCCCUAAGAAUACCAUAUUUUUGUUUCAUGGCAUUCCCGGAACAAUGCCUCAGACGCUACCAAAACAGUUUUAAUGCCAAUCAAUUGUGACCAACCACAAAAAAUCUUUUCGGGAUUAAAAUCUUUAUUUGAGUUCAUCUUCCGAACAAAAUGGACUCAAAAAUUGAAGUUCAGAAGCAGCAAACAUGGAAAACUCAACAUUCAUAUCUCCCACAGUAAAAUAGAAGAUUUUUACACAAAGUCAGGGUAAUACUAUAUUUUAAGUCUGGAUGUCAAAAGGUAAAGCACCAAGAAUGAAAAAGAUUUACUAGAACGAAAGAUACAAUAAGAAUACCAUAUUUUUGUUUCAUGGCAUUUCCGGAACAAUGCCUCAGACUCUACCAAAACAGUUUUAAUGCCAAUCAAUUAUGGCCAACACAAAUAAUCUCUUCGGGAUUAAAAUCUUUAUUUGAUGGUCUAUCUUCCGAACAAAAUGGACUCAUAAAUUGAAGUUCAGAAGCAGCAAACAAGGAAAACUCAACAUUCAUAUCUCCUACAGUAAAAUAGAAGAUUUUUACACAUAGUCAGGGUAAUACUAUAUAUUAAGUCUGGAUGUCAAAAGGUAAGGCACCAAGAAUGAAAACGAACAUACAUACAUACACAAAGUCACAUAUAUAUAUAUAUAUAUAUAUAUAUAUAUAUAUAUUUAUACACGUGUGCGUGUUCUAUUUGUGUUAAUACAAGUCACCCUUAUACUUCAUAUGUAGAAACAGUCUCAGCAAUUCGCUAUCCGGAAAAGAAACAUACCUCAGCACGGAACACGUCUAAAGCAAACCCAUUGAAGCAGCUGAUCACAGCCUGCUGGAUGUCCAAAUCAAGGUUAUCCAAGGCCCUCAUGGUCGAGAGAAAGAGACCUGGUCUCCGAGCACAGAACAUGUGGAUGUUAACAGUUCGCCCUUCCCUUACCCGAACCUCCACCUGCAAAAUACAUUGAAGAUUACAAGUUAAGGAAAUCUUCUUGAUCAUACUUUACAUAUUGCAUGCUUCAAAUUAUACGGGUGAAUAAAAGUUACCUUCGGUUGAGUUUUGGGGCUAGGCAAGGAGCUUGGGCAGAGCUCUUCUUUGACACGGCAGGGAAGGGUGGAUGGAGGGGGUGUCAACGGAUGAAAGCUUGUUGAAGGUGGCAGCAAAGAGCUAGGUGGAGCUGAAUCCAGCUCGUUAUGGAGGUCAUUGAUCCUUUGUAGAAGUUCUUUCAAAUAAUCAAUUGCAUCCCCUAGUAUGGACGCCCUAUCCAUCUGUGUACAACAUGACAGAAUACUCAUCAUGUAUUAUGACUGAUAAGCAAGAAGCCACGAAUCACACAGGAAGCUGAAUCCCCCAAACAAUGGCCCAACUUAAGGCAAUAUCAAGAGCCACUGGAUCUGUCAUGGAUUUUCCGAACUAUUAAUUUCCUUCGAGUAAAAAGACCAAUUCGAUGUAAAACAACGUGAGUACUUCUCUUAAUACAUCAAUACAAUAGUAUGUAUACAUUACCUUUUAGGUGGCUUAAAUUCUUUGUAAUUCUAAGGCGCACAUCCGGCUGUUACAUUCAGCUAAUUUCCGUACUUAUAGUACUAGUUAAAAUGAAAAAUGAAAAAAAAAAAAACACAAAAGUAGAGCAAGAAACUCACAUAAACUAACAUAAAAAGAUAGGGAAAGCACACAAAGACUGCAUCUUCAAAGGAACAAGGCAAAAAGAAAUUAAUGGAGAACUAUGUCCACUGUCUAGUAUAGAUGGUACAGAAAAUGACUACCUUGCUUAUCUUGGGUACAACAGACCUAAGCAUGUAGAGCCUGUCAUUGAGCUUCUUCCUCCGCCUUCUCUCCGCCAUCAGAUUUUUGGCCGGCAAACCCUUCUUCUUGCCCUUGCGGUCACCUCCCUCUACUCCGGUGACAGUGCAGUUGGCAUUCGAAUUGUUUCCACCAUUCUUCGCAUUGUCCUCCACCUCCACUUGACUGUGCUCAUUAAAAUCGUUCGAGUCAUAAUUCAAACCAGACACAUCCAGACUCUCUUCCUCCACCUCACCCUCGUCGUUCCCCCUCUUCUUCUCCAAAUUCUCCACUAGUCCUCCGUAUCUGGGGGCCGAAAUCUCCAAAUUCCCCAAUUUAUCAGCCCCAUCACCGCCAGAGUUUUGGCGGCGCUUCUGGAAAAGAGUGGGCUGAGCACCCAUGGGAGGGAACAGGAGCUUAGCCCCGUUCAGCAGCUGAGCACCGGCGGAGCCAUCGAAGCCUUCGAAGCCAAAGUCGCCGUCGAGUAUAUUGGCGUUGUCGGUCACUGGCAGCAACCGACUCGCCGGAAACUCGGCGCUCGAACUGAACUCGGGAGUACCCAUCUGAGAGUGAGAAUUGAGAGCCGUGAAACCCAUCAGAAGAGAGGACUUGGAAGGCUGAUUUCCCUGAAAGGAGCCCAGAAACCCAGCGUCGCAGCCCAGGUCGAAGCUGCUAUCAAGAGGGUUGGAGCAGACGACGUUGAGGAGAGAGGAGAAGCAGGAUUUUGGAGGCAAAAACUGCUGUGACGGCUGUGAAGAGUCGAUAGAGAAUGCCUGCGACGGAGAACAGGAGGCGGAGGAGUCGUUUGGUUGCAGAGGAGCAAAUGUAGUUUCAGAAGCUUGGGUGGAAGAGAAGGUAUGGAGGUCUUGAGCUGGGUUGCUGAGAAUGUUGUUCGUGUACCAGUCACCUUCCAGCAUUAAUUUGACGUUUGAAAAAGAAACUCCCAAGCUCGAAUCUUGGUCGUUUCUUCUGGGUUCUGCCUCAUUGUUAUUAUUGUUUCUGGUCCAAGACGCUGCGUCGUGUUCGUCUCCGCCCAUACAAGCGGCGCCGCUGGACAUGGGAAGCAUGACUGUCUUUCUUCACUUGUCAAGAUUUUUUUUUUUUUGGUCAAGACUUUUUUAUACGAUUAUACCCUUUAGGGAAAAUUGUCUGAAAGAGACAAAACAAAAGGCGGGGUUCGGUUACAGAGGUUCGAUAGAAAACGCAGAAAAGGACAGCAACUUUUUGCUCAGAGUCGGGUCAUCAUUUUGAGAAGAAACGGAGACAUAGAUUCCCGAUGUUUUUUCUCUAAUUUUUAGCUGGGAAAUGGAAAUGGAAAUGGAUUCUUUCAAGUUCGAACGUUCAGUUUCAUCAGUUUUGUGGAAGGGAAAAAUCGUAUUGGUCUCUAAACUAAUUGUAAUUAUUGAUUCAUCUAAUUGUCGCAACGUGGAAUAAUGUUCUUUCAUUUUAAGUAACUUCAUUAGAAAAAUAUCGCAUUAAUCUUUAAUUUUUGAACCGAUAAAAAUUUAGUUUUUUAACCAAAAAUUUGUACAUAUUAAUUCAUAAAUUUGUCUCACGGUGUGGUUAUGUUUCUUGUUUUUAGGUAACAUUUGCCAUAGAUUUUUGUACCUUAUUAUCCCUUAAAACCCUUCAUUUUAAAAGUGUUACCAAAAGAAUCGUUGAGUCACAUUGUGACAAAUUCAUUAAAAUCCAACUUUUCGUUUAAAACAGUCUUAAAUUACAAAACCAACAUCAACAACAACAGAGCAAAGCUAGCUAGGUGGACCAACUUUUUAACCAAAUUUUCAAACUAUAAAUGUGUCAUCACUAGGAAAUUACAUACGUUAAUAUUUUGAUAAUAAUCUAAUCAUCAAUAACACUAUAGAUAUAAUUUCAACUCGCACAAUAAAACUAGAUGAUUCAUCUCUGUUCACGUGACCAGACUAACUAGUCCAGGGUAGACUGCUGUGGAUAACUUGGCUGCAUACGUGGCAUGCAUGCAACUCAUUAACAAGUCGGGAGAUGAGAUAUAUCCGCCAUUCACUGCCAAAUCUUGAGGGUUUAAUUGUUUUUAACGUACAAAUUAAUAUAAUCAAGUAAACAAUAAAUGUAGACAAAUAACAAAAAGUAAAAUAAAAAUCUUCCGAGUUUUAACUUGGCUGGUUGGCGGACAUCGAAAUGCAUGCAUGUGAAGUCUGAAGAUUGAAGAGUACUAACGAUCGAAGACCCGUCCAAAGCGGUUGGGAUUACGAUGUGGCUGUGGUCGAUCUCCAAACUUUCCUCCAAUAAAUAAGCUAAAAUUUUGAAAAUUUUAUCUGAUCUCUCAUUAUCUAUCAUUCAUCCGCACAAAGAAAAAAGCCCAAGGUGGUUCAUUUUCUAAACAGUAAUAACAAAAGGAAAGGAAACUAACAAGCUGCAGCGGGUCCAUGACAGCUAAAAGAUUACAGACAGAAGACCAUGCAGGCAUAUUGUAUACCAUUUGUAUAUAUUCAUUAUUCAUUCAGGCUUUCAGCUGUGUGAACUGCGGGACCACUGUUACUAAUAAUACUUGUUCGUGAUGUCGAUGGCCUCGCUCUCUUCCUCUCUGAAAAUAUGACGUUGAGGAGUGAACUCAAAGAAGGUCCUGAUCGAGCGAGCAGUAUAUUAACUUACUAAUCGGUAAUAUCGGUAAUAUAUACUUGAUCAUUCAGGCGUUCCCAUACGUACACCACUUUAUAGCUUCCAGGGCAGCCAAUUCAACAACAUUUAAAUAUAGUACGUAAUAUAAUCAAGCUGCUUGAAAUAAAAAAGACACAUGCAUGAUAAGCAUGUGUGCAAACAACAAUUAACUUGUGUACGUUUGUAACGAAAACAAGUCUAAACCUUAUUGGAGUCUUGACUCUAGGCAUAUACUAGGAUUACAUUACACAGGUUGAUCCCGAGAAGAAGGGAAGCUAAGACUUUUGAAGCUGGUGAACCCUCCAUCCAGCACUAGAUUAUGACCCGUCACAUAUUUUGCUUCAUCCGACGCCAGAUACACCGCCGCUUGCGCCACAUCUAUCUCCUCACACUUCGCACCCUUGAGCUCUCCCAGCCCAUUCACUAUCUCUUUAACUUGCUCCUCCGUUGCCCCCGGAUAAAACUGCUUUAUUUCCCGCACCGCCAUUGGCGUCGGUAUUGGACCCGGCGAUAUGCAAUUGACUCGGAUCCCGUUUCGGCACAGCUCGCUCGCCAGUGAUUUCACCAGGCCAGGUAUCGUAAAUUUCGAUAUCGAGUAGGAGUGAGGCCCAAGGCCACCCAACAGCCCAGCUAUGCUGGACGUGCACAGUAUGGAGCCUGAGCCCGCAGGUUUCAUGACUCGGGCCGCAUGCUUUAUCCCAGCAACCGCGCCCCUCAAGUUGACCCGGAUCACUCUGUCAAACUCUUCAAGGUUCAGGUCAGCGAUGCUGGGCGGGAAUGCUGGGCCUGUUAUUCCCGCGUUGUUGUACAUUAUGUCAAGUUUUCCAUGACGGGCCAUGGCGGUUUCUACAGCCUCUGCUAUCUGGGACUCAAUGGUAACGUCGCACUGGACAAAGUAGGCUGCGGGGCCCAGCUCUUUGGCAACUUGUGGACCCAGCUCAGAAUCUGAGUCUGCAAUGAUGACGUGUGCUCCAUGUCGGAUGAACUCGUGGGCCGUGGCCUUCCCAAGCCCGCUAGCUGAUCCUGUUAUUAUGGCUACCUUGCCUUCCAACCUUCUUUUAUCAAACAAAGUAUGCACAUGGAUGAUUAGAUUCUUAAUGCAUCGAAACAGAUGUUAAUAUUAUCACUUUAAUGUUAAUGUACUCGGAAAAAUAAAAGGCAAGAAAAGAAAGGAACAACACGCGUGUUGAAUAUGCAAUGAAAAGACAAGAUCAGUCAUGUCGUUUGAAAAUGAGGUCUGCGAAACGACGUCCGAUCAAGAAAAUGAUUAUAGGGCAGAUUGAUCAUUCAAUCAUGAAGCGGUGGAUCGUUUUCCACGCCGGAAAUCACCCAAAAAGCAACACCGGCCACAUUCAAUAUUUGACUCAUGUUCAUAUAAAGUGGGAUUUUUUGUGCACGGAAAUUUUUUUAUUAGAGAGUAGUAGUCCAUCCAUUUGAAUUCGAUGCCCGACAAUGAUGAAAGUUUGAAAUUUAACGUGAGUGUAAAACUGGAAGUAACUUAUAUACAAAAAAAAUGUUAUUAUAACUGUAUUUUAAAUUAAUUAUAUAUUGUUAUGACAAAGUGUGAUUAAUUUGAUAAUUAGCACAACGGUAUCCUCGUUUUAAGUAAGAUAUUUCCAUAAAAAUGAAGACAUGCGCUAUGAGUUGUUACUUUUGAUCUGACCAGGGCUAGAUUUUUUAUUUUUUAUUUUUUAUUUUUUGGAAAAACUGACCAGGGCUAGUUUAAGCUUGAAAGCAUUGCAUGUGCUGCACGGUGUCUUAAACAUCACUGUCAAACAUAAUUAUUGAUCAAAUACUUAAGUUGACCUUACUAAACUAAACUAAACUAUAUAAUAUUGAAGAUGGCAGAGGAACUGCCGAGAUUAAUUACUAUGAAAUGGAAUUUUAAUCAUGGGAUCACUCAUAGCUCCACGGUAUAUGCAUAAUUUACUUAGAAACUGCUGUCAGAAUAGCUAGGUACAAUUUUACUACAAAAUUGAGCAUGUUAAUUUCUCACAAAUAUAUUUUUAAUCAGACUUUGUUUGUUGCUAAAACUUUCGCUAUGGAUGAUCUCAAGAUGGUUAUGUUUUUCUUUUAGUUUUAAACCCUCAACAAUAAAUAUGAGACUUCCCUUGCAUUACACUAUAUAUAAAAUGGUAUCUUAAGAUGUAUAACAGUUUAAGUAACCUUAUAAUAAUAUAGUACUCCUACUGGGACUUAAAUAUAUUAUAUAUGCUGGGCCGGGUGACUACUACUAUCUGAUAAAAACGAUAGAAGAAAACAGAAAAUAAUAAUGCACAAAAACUGUGCGACAAAGUCACGGUGAAUAAGGUACCGAUCGAGGUAGAACUAGAAGAGAUUUCCAUUAAUAAGAGAGAAGAUGGCCAAAAGAAGGGAAAUAUUAAUAUGAUCAACCAUGUUUUUGGAAUCGAUCGAUCUGCAGCUACCAGAUCAUGUAUAAUAAACUGUAAAAUAUACAUACCUUCCAUGGCCAGAUGCACCAAACGUUGAAAAGGGCAUCGCUCGCUUACAGAGAAAAUCAUUGCAGCUGAUCAGCUUAAACUCUCCGAGAAUAAAACAAAUAUUCCACAUCUAUCCCUCAGUUUCCGUGAAUUUCCAGCGCAUAUAGCUACUGUUAGGGUAGCAUGUAUAAUUAUUUUGGUCAUGUCAAAUAGCAUAUAUGGUAUUAUUGGUAAAAUAAGGCGUGAACUGACCUGGUUAGUGAUCUGAGCAUAUCUGCAGCAAAGAUCUGAUGAAUUGAUGCAAGAGAGAGAGAGAGAGAGAGAGAGAUGCUUGACCCUAAUUAUCUAACUGAUGAUCAGUGGCAGAACUCAAUAGCUGGAAAGAAACAAGGACCAGAAUUUAUUGGAGAGCAGGAAGAAAACGUUAUAAAUUGCAGUUGUAGAUACGCGUUUUCAUGCAAAGAGAGAGAGAGAGAGAGAGAGAGAGAGAGAGAGCGCAAAUUUGAUAUUGAAGUUGAACAUGGUUUACAAAAUAUGUGACCUGUCGUAUUUAAUGAUCCUAAGUUAAAACAGCAGAAGGAAGCCCGAGUGCUAAAGAAUCAAUGUGAAGGUUUUUGGAUGGGAGUAAGAUUUUCUCUCUUUCUAUUCUCAUAUCUUUGCCUCCCGUACUCCCAUACUUUGAAAAGAUUUUUCAGCGUGAUCGGUACUACUAUGUGUAAAUGAUAGGAUAAGUUUACUAAAAAAUUAAUAACUUAAAAAAUAAAAUUUCUCACAACUUCUAUAAAAACACGUGGUAUACCACUUGUGUUCCCAUCACAAUGAAAAAUUUCUUUACACUUUACUUUUUGUCUUCUUGUCUUUAUAAAAAAAAUCAAUAUAAGACGUUAAUGUGACUUAAUCCUAACCGUUCAAAUAGAAGGAGCAAGAAUGAGAGAGAUUAGGAAGGGAAAUAAUUAUCUUGCUUUGGAUGUAGCAGGCUGCAGACUGCAGACUGCGGUAGCUGGAGGUGUACGUUAGCAAGCCAAACCUAGCUAACAAAAAAAAAAGAUUUCUAAGAAAAAAAAGAAAUUAAAAGGAACAGCAAUGAUCGUAAAUAAUGGUGUAAUUAAUAUUAGUUUAAAGAUACAUAUAAUUGGAUAUCAAUAUAUACUGAAGGAACAACUAAGCUAUAAAAUUAAGCAGAUUGUCAUUGUAUUGAGUUAGUGGAGACAAACAACGGACAAGUGAGUGAAGCUACAAUCUCAUACUGCGGGAUUGCAUAUAUUUGGUCUCUUAAACAAAACUUAAAUUACUCCUUCGUGUUCUUUUUCUUGGCCUGACUUGCCUUAUCAUGAUCUGUACCCGCAUACAAACAAUUAAUGAAAUGUUAAUUAAUUAAUUUGUCAUUAACAAACCCCACUUAUAUAUGAUCAUGAGUAAUUAAAGUAGUUCAAUACUAGCAACUGGAGCAACAUAUGUAUAAUGCAUGCAUGCAUGCAUGCAUGCGUUGAUGAAAGCUUUAAUUUGGUGAUUGUAUCGUACAUAUUUCACUAUUUCGUGUGCGAAUAUAAGUACUAUAAAUAUGUAUUAUGGAGGUUGUAAUGAUCGAUGGGUGUUAAUUAAAGUAGUUACUAGCGAAUCCGGAUAUGUAUAUUCUCCAUUCUCUAUCCUAGCAGACUAGUCUAGCUAGUUGGGCCUAUAUGAAGUAAUCACCAACACCACGCCUAGCUCUGUAUUGCUGAGGUUACGAAAGAUGAGAAUUGGAUGGCUUCAGCUUGACGAUCACACGAGGGAGGGAUAUGUAUAUAAAUUUUUGUUUGGGAAUGAAUUUCACAUUAAUGAGAUGACGAAUUUUGCAUUAGCUUAUAAGAGGUUGGACUAUUCCUUAUAUUUCCAAUUAGUUUUCUGGUGGAACCUCAAUUUUUUUCAUGGUAUCAGAGUAGAUUAUUCACGUGUAAAGCCCAACGGUUACACUUGAUCAACAUCACCUAAUUGUGUUGUCUACGUAUUAGGCUUGAAAGUUCACCACACGCGAGGGGUGUGUUGAAAAUGAAUCCCACACUGAUGAGAAUAAGAACUUUGCAUGUGUUUAUAAGUAGUUUAGCUACUUCACAUAUUGUCAAUUAAUAUUAUAGUGGAACCUCAACUUUCUUCAUUUAUAUCAACUAAGAUAAGGAUUGCGUUAUGCCCUUAAGGGUAGGCGUGAGUACGGUUUGGUUCAAUCUAGUUCACUCCUUAAACCAUAAUAGAAAUUAAAUAUUAUUGCUGGUUUGGUCUAGUUGGAUUUGAUCUAAAAUUAUAACUAAAACCAUACGGUUUGGUUUACGUCAUUUCCAGUUCAGUUUCGCGGUUUUUAUGCCCACCCCUUGGGGAAUGAGCUUAUUGCACCGCUUUUAAAUAAUGUAUAUUUUCAUAUAAAUUUCAUAACCAAAAUUGUUCAGUUUCAUAAACAUGAUUGGAAUUCUUAUAAACAUACAUUAAUCGGAGUUUGUUUAGUCAUAUAAAUGUAUCAAAUAAAUUAACGGUUCUUCAUGAAUAUAUUACUUGGUACCUACACUGUUGAUGUAUAUGAUAAAUUUGAAUGACUAAACGAACUAUGAUUUGCAUGAUUAUUUUGUAAGAAUAAUCUUCUUAUGAACAUUAAGAAAUUGACAACCAGCUUCCCUUUAAUAACCAUUACGUUUAUAGUAUAUAAUUUUUGUGUUAGAAAUGGAGGGAAAGUAUAUGAAACAACUGAACAAUGAAGAAAGAUGAAGCGAAGUCGUGGGACGAAUGAGACAAACUUACAAAUGAAGAAUAUUAUACGAAGGAGAAAAAAAAAUGUGAAAACAACAUAAAAUUGUUUUCAGUUAAUGAAACACUCAUGAUAUUAUUCAUUUUUAAUAUUAAAAACAUUUUAAGCAUGAAAAGUCACUCCUAAUAUUAUUCACUUACAACAAUAUUUUGUCAUUUUGAUUAAAACUAAAGUUUUUGAGAAAUUUUGGUUAGUUUUUCUUAGCUUUUAUUUGUGCGGUGUUUCAUAUAUUAUUUUUCAACAUUAGUACCAUCAUAUCUCUACCUUUUGUUAAUUUUUAUUUCUUUUAUACUUUUCCUCUAUUAUAAUACAAACAAAAAAAAAAGUGGUGAUUAAUCAAAAUCUCAUGUUAGUUCAUUUACAUAGAAAUGUUGUCAGAUCAAGAGACAGUCCACAACGAUACCAGAGUAUUCCAGCAGAAAAAAAAAAACAACGAAUACCAGUGUUACGCGUCCAUUAGACCGAGAAAUUUUUAUUUGUGAUGUGAAUAUGGAUAUUACAUCACGUGUUUUUAUGUAUGUGGUGAAAAAUUUUAAUUUUUAAGUUAUUAAUCUUUUAACACACAUAUCCCACAAUUUAUAUAGAAACACGUAAUAUACCACUUUAUGUGACGAUCACAUUGAAAAAUCUCUCAAUUAGACUGGACCGUUUUCAUUUGGAAUCCAAAAGAAAAUAAAUAAACGGGCCAGUCGCUAACUGGGCUAAUCACGUGGACUUAAGGUCCGGUAUUCCGAGGGGAUAUGACAUCGGCUCGUACGUGCCUUCCUUUGAACAUAGGCGAUUCUUCAACAGUAGAACUUGAUAACUGUAAUUUCUCUGUUUUGUCCGAGUGCUGUGUUGAUUGUGCCAAGGAAGGAAACUGAAACUAUGAAAAGUUGAAAGGGAACAAAUGUAAAAGAAGCAGUUGCAUUGAUAUAAUGAUUACGAUAUAAAAGGUGGCGGUGGCGGUGGGGAUGCGGGAAUAGCUUUGUCUGUCCAAUUUCCAAAUCGACAUCGAACCAUCCCCACAUUCAUAUAUACAACAAGUCAAACGAAGCAGAAGCAGAUCUAAUUUCACUAGUAAGUGCGCGGGCGCAGAUCUCAUUCCCUCUGGUAGAUUAAUGGGUGCAGCUCAGUCCGUACAAGAGCCCGAAGAGAGCGAAGAGGAAGACGAAGAAGGAGAAGGAGGAGAAGAGGACGGCAUCAAUGGCGAGCCCAACAUUCGAAGUGGAUUGGAAUUGGACAAGGAUUUGAUCAAAAAGGUUUUAGAACAAGAGCCCGAGAUGCUCUGCCACGCAUCCGCUUCCCCUCUCUCCCCUCAGCUCUCCUCCUUCGGCACCCCGCGCCUGGGACCCUCCAUCAAGGUAUGGGACCCCUACAACGUCCUCGGCCCGCCUUCGCCUCUGCCCCCGCCUCCCGGAUUCUCCCGCAGCUUCUCGUCCAAUGCCAUGGAGGACGACCAAUUCGUCACGGAGGUGUUUUUGAUUAGUCACGGCGAGUGCGAGUUGAAUUUGAGGCCCGAUUUGGUGGGCGGGCGGUGCCCCCAGGCGGCUCUGACCCCCAACGGCAAGCGCCAGGCCAGGGCCCUGGCGGUUUUCUUGAACUCCCAGAGGGUUAGCUUCAGUGCCGUUUACUCGUCCCCGCUGGAUCGUGCGCGCUCCAUGGCGGUUUCUGUCUGUCAGGUAAUUUUUGAAUUGAACUUAUUCGAGUUUAGAAUUCUGAUUGUUCUUUGGAAAUUGUAGACAACUGACGAUGCUGAGUAUAUUUUAUUUUGCUUACUUGUUUUAGAAUGUGAUUAAGCAUCGAAUUCUGCCUACUUAUGCCGAUACGAUUCACUUAUGAGUGAGAGAGAGGGAUAUGUCAAUUUGUUUGUUAACUACUUGCUGAACAUGAACCUAUUUUUUUUUUUUUUUCGUUUUAAGCCUAGUGCUAUUUAACAAACCUAGGUGAAUUUUCUUGGAAUCAUCAAGCAACCAAGCUUUUAAAACCUACGUACAAUUUCAAGCAGGAUAAGAACACCUUGAAGAACACCUUGAAACUGGCAGGGGGAAAUGGUAGCCUAUAAUUUGGUAUGUUUUGCAAUUUAUAUUUCAUGGUACAUAAAAGGAUUUGUGUAGCCGACAACACACAUUUGGGAUGAAAAGCAUCUUCAAGUCGAAUUAAUUGGCUUGUGGCUUGGAAUGAAAGCUUUAAGUGCUAAUUGUGUCACUACUGUUGCGGUCCCUCAUUGGCUCAGUUACAUGAUUGAUUGGUGUUGAAGCUGUCACAGUUAUGGCUCUUAGAUUUGAAGACAUGGCUUCUAUAACUUCUUGGUACAUGGAUCCUUAGUCCAAGUAAUGUGUACGGGACGAUGAAUAUCCAAGAAGGCGUAGGGGGAUAAUUGGAAUCAGUAUCCUUUUGGCAGAGUAUAUGUUGUCCUCGACUGUUUUGACCAAAAGAAUUCUCAGGAUUUGAAAGUUGGGUCAUAUUUGAUAGUAUUUGAUUAACUUCUCGUUCACUCCUCCUUUUCCUUCAUUAAAUGUUAGAUCCCCAGCCCUUCUAUUCUUCUUAUUCUUCAUUAUGAAUCAUAUUGGUAGGUUCCCCUUUUAGCUGACGAUAUGAAAUAAACCGCUUUGUAGUUAUUGGUUCCUAAUAUGAGCAGCUAAAGAGAUCAUGCAAGGUAUAGUGUAUCUGAUAUGUGAUAUUGCUUACCCUAGAAUUUUGGUAUUUAAGAUGUUCUACAUGUGUCUAAAUAGUUUUGUCGGAUUAUAAAAUCAUGCAGGAAAUGAACUUUCCAGUUGGACAGAUACAAACUUCAGAUGCGCUUGCAGAGAUGAGUCAGGGGGAUUGGGAGGGGUGCCCCCGAUCUGAAAUAUACACAGCUGAAGUUUUGAGCUUCAUGGAAAGAGUUCAGCCUGAUUUCUCUGCACCAUCGGGAGAGUCACUUCGGCAAGUGGAAUUUCAAAUGGUUAGUUUUUUAAACGGGACAGUCCUUGGGCUUCCAGAAAAGUUGAGAGCAUACUACUCAUUCUCAUCACACAAUCAGAAUGAGAGUCAAGGCUUUGCACACCAUAGUUCUCAUGUAUUAACCAACUCAGUUCAUGACCGAGAUGGGCCUUCCCUCCCUUCACCUAACUGGGAUCUGCUUCACAGGCAGCGGCAGGGGCUCUUAAGGAAAAAGUCUGGCAAGAGCAGGUUACAAGUUGUGACUACAACUGGAGUUCAGGAGGUUGAGGAUGAAAUUUCCCCUCGGGAUGUCACUCACCAAAGUUCCCCUCAUGAUUUAAGUGGGAGAAGCUCCUCUUCUGCGUCUUGUAUUGGUAUAUUCAGUCAUGCAGUGCCAAUCCAAUGUCUCCUCACAGGAAUCCUUGGAUGCAGCCCAUUAAUGUCGCAUAAGAUUUGCAUAGAAGACUCUUCUGUGACAGUUUUGCAGCAUUCAUGGAGAACCGGUUGGCAGAUAAAGAGGUUGAAUGAUACUGCACACCUCAGGCUUAUGUAGUAGUUAUAGACUUGGGAGUAUCAUAACUUGUUACAUUAUAUCGACAAUGCGAAAGUAAAGUUUCAUUUCCCGGGAUCAGUGGGUUACAAAACACGAUAGUUUUGCUUGAAUAUGCAAUGCCCUGCCAUUUGUUGUAACAUUUGCUCUAUUUAUUUCCGAAUUGUUCAACUCCGCAAAAGAAGAAUGACAUGUUGUUGGAGUUGGAUCCUUGUAUCGGGUGAUUCUUUUGAUUUGUGGCAAUUACAGGAGAUGGUGUGAAGAAUCAUGUAUUUCCUGUAUAUUUUAAAGAAAAUUCAUAAUUCAGAAACUUUGAUCAUGCAUUCAUCAGCUAUGUAGAUCUCAGUAGGAACAAUCUCACUUUUUUUUUUUUUUUUUUUUUUGAGUAGAUCGAUAUUUUUACACUAAGGGGAAGGGAGUUUGAUUAAGCUACACAAUGGGCAGCUUAAUUUGGUAUUGAAUUUGCCAUUCACGAGAUUCGAACCUAAAACCUUACUUUCAAGUGGAGAGGAAUACUACCAGACCGUAGUACUGAGAGGUGAAGCCACACGAUGCUCUUUUCCUUUUUAUGUUUAUAUCUUUUAUUUUAGUACUUAAUGGUUUGAAGUUGAAUGCUAGGUUAGAUAGUUCAGGGCUGAAAUCUUCAUUUCAAUUCAAUACAAGUUCCUGUGUGUUUUUUAUUUUUUAAAUUUAUAUUUUUUGGCCUUUUUGAUGCAAAACCAUGUUAGAGAAAGGAAGAAAAAGAAAGGGCAUGUGGUUAUUUUGGACUGCUAGAGUGAGUUGUCCUGUUUCUUUUCUUUAACAAGUUGCAUCAGACAGGACACAGUUGCGGUGCGUGGGUCACCAGACACUCACAACUCUCACAUGGGAUGGAUGGAUGGAUGGAUGGGGCUGGCAGCCGCAGCCGAUGGUUGCAAUUUCAGACCUAAAAAAAUAAGGCAAUGAAUUAUGCAGCAUGUUGUGGCUACAUCCUCGCUUAUUACGAGACUAGCUACAAUCAGAACCAGGUGCCGAACUCAUCACAAAUCUCUCUCUCGCGUUUAUAACUUAAUCAUGAGACAUCCUCUUACCAAGCAGAGAACUAGCAUUACACCACGAGCUAGUCAGCGAUGAAGCAAAGCAAGUGCUGUUAGGAGUUGGGACUUAGCAUAUUAGAGACGAUGAUUGGUAUACAAAUACAAUGAGGGACAUGGCAUAUUUGAGACGAUGAUUGGUAUAUAAAUACAAUGACCUAAAUUUCUCAGAUAUAAUAGUAUAUUAUUGAAUCCCCAGUUCAGCUAAGAUUCUCAGACAUCUACGGAAAUUACUGGCUCUGUCUAUCAGUAAAUUAUAUGCACAGCCAUCUUGUUCGCUAAUUUACAUGCUCUGUGCAACUCAACUAGUGCGGUGCUAACGAUUUCAGCUUCUCCGAUGGUUUUACCAUAUGGAAAUCCACCCAAUAACAAUAUGUAAUCCUUCUUCCCUUCUCCAGGUGAUGAAUCUACUCCUAAUUCGGCAGAUGCAUUUACAGCAGUCCCAAGCGCAGGCCAGUUUGUUGGCAAACAUUGAAGAACUGACGUGCAAGUCCAUUUUUAUUCGGUAUUCUUGAGAAUGUUCAUCUUGUAUCAAUACUUCUUUUGGAUAACACGUUGAUACGUUUUAUUAAUAAACAUAGAUAACAUCUAACCGAUGUCAUACGAGACCAGAGUUUCUUCACAACAACAGGGGGUAGUGCCAACUUGUAUAAUUGUAAUUCUCACAACAUUUGCAAACUCGUUGACCAAUGUUUGACUUUGGAAGGGCGGGCAGAAGAGCUUUCUUUCUUGCAAACAGCUCCAAAAAGAUCCCACAUUUGCAACCAGUUUGUUCGCUCAGCGGGAAUCCAAAGCCACGAAAAUCCCCCGGGAACGAAAGAAUGAUGAAUGAAUGAAGAUUUCAAAAUCGAGUUUUUGUCGCAUCCGCAGGCACCAAUAUUCGGUCGCAGUUAACAACCUCAACCUUGCAACCUGGUUCAACAAAUACGUCGACAAAGACGAUGUCGCUUCCUGGAACUCCGUCAUUGCCGACUUGGCCCGGAGCGGCGACUCCCUCGAAGCCCUCCGGGCAUUUUCGUCCAUGCGAAAGCUUUCCCUCAGACCAAACCGCUCCUCCUUCCCCUGCGCCAUCAAAUCCUGCUCGGCUUUGCUGGACCUUCACUCCGGCAAGCAAGCUCACCAGCAGGCGUUGGUCUUCGGCUUUGAGUCCGAUCUCUUUGUCUCCUCUGCACUCAUCGAUAUGUACUCCAGAUGUGGUCGAUUGACGGAUGCAUGGAAACUGUUCGAUACAAUUCCUCACAGGAACGUGGUUACUUGGACGUCAAUGAUCACCGGGUGCGUCCAGAACGACGAUGCCUGCCAAGCCUUGGCUCUCUUUAAAGAGUUGUUGAUUGAGGAAAUUGACAAUGAGGAUGUUUCUUUAGAUCCUGUUGUACUGGUUUCUGUUCUGUCGGCUUGUUCUCGCGUGUCAAGUAAGGGACUUGCUCAAAGUGUUCAUGGGUUGGUGGUGAAGAGAGGCUUUGAUGGGGAUUUAUGGGUUGGGAAUACUUUGAUGGAUGCAUAUGCCAAAUGUGGCGAGCUCGGUCUUGUUAGAAAGGUGUUUGAUGGAAUGUCUCAAAAGGAUUUGGUUUCUUGGAACUCCAUGAUUGCAACUUAUGCACAGAGUGGAUUAUCUUCUGAGGCAUGGCAAGUCUUCUACGGGAUGGCAAGGGAUGGUGACGUCCACUACAAUGCGGUGACGUUGUCCACUUUGUUAUUAGCUUGUGCACAUGCUGGGCCUCUGCUAGUUGGGAAGUCUAUACAUGAUCAGGUAUUCAAGUUUCUCGCAAGCCCUUAAUUUCGCAUCCUGUGGAAUAGGUUAUUACUGCAGGCUGUCUCUACUAAUGCAAUCUUUGGUCUUUUUAUUUAUAGGUUCUGAAAAAGGGCUUGGAAGAGAAUGUGAUAGUGUCUACCUCUAUUAUCGACAUGUACUGCAAACGUGGGAGAGUUGACUUGGCAAGGAAGGCAUUUGAUUGCAUGAAGGAGAAGAAUGUCAGGACAUGGACUGCCAUGGUUGCAGGUUAUGGAAUGCAUGGCCAUGCCAAAGAAGCGUUGGAGGUCUUCUAUAAGAUGAUAAGAGAUGGUGUGACACCAAAUUACAUAACAUUUGUGUCACUUCUAAAUGCUUGCAGCCAUGCUGGUCUAUUAGAACAGGGUUGGUAUUGGUUUAAUGCCAUGAGCCGCAAAUUCGGUGUAGAACCUGGAAUUGAGCACUACGGGUGCAUGGUUGAUCUUCUUGGACGUUCUGGUGAUCUUAACAAGGCUUAUGAUUUAAUAAAGGGAAUGAGGAUCAUGCCAGAUUGUGUUGUCUGGGGUUCGUUUCUUGGGGCUUGCAGGGUACACAAAAAUGUGACAUUUGCAGAGAUUUCUGCAAGAAAACUAUUUGAGCUUGACCCUCAUAAUUGUGGGUACUACAUCUUGCUUUCAAAUAUAUAUGCCGAUGCUGGGAGAUGGGAAGAUGUUGAGAGGAUGAGAGUACUCAUGAAGAAUCGUGGGUUGGUAAAACCUCCUGGAUUCAGUUUGGUUGAACUGAGAGGUAUUGUGCAUUUAUUUUUAGUUGGAGACAGAGAGCAUCCUCAGCAUGAGAAGAUUUACGAGUAUUUGGAAAAACUGACAAUCAAGCUGCAAGAGGUUGGCUAUGCACCCAAUAUCAGUUCAGUUCUUCAUGACGUUGAUGAGGAAGAGAAGGAAAUGGUCCUAAGAGUACAUAGUGAGAAGCUGGCCGUUGCCUUUGGAAUCAUGAAUUCUGUAUCUGGUGCGACGAUUCAGAUAAUCAAGAAUCUUCGAGUUUGUGCCAAUUGUCAUACUGUUAUUAAGUUGAUUACGAAGGUUGUUGAUCGGGAAAUUGUGGUCAGAGAUUCAAAGCGGUUUCAUCACUUCAGGAAUGGGUUGUGUUCUUGUGGAGAUUAUUGGUGAUGGCCCUGUAAGAAGAUGGCGGUUGCUAGGCAAAUUUGGCUCGAUAAACAGCCUCAUUGAUAAGGUGUAGAAUAGAUAGCACGUAAUGGCUCUCUAGGAAUGUUGUGACUACUAUUCAUAUAAUCAGUUUUGGUGAAACUGAAUGCCACUUCUGAUAAGAUUGUUUCUGAUCAACAGAAGACUGAGUAAAUUAUAGAUCAGCCUUGAUAAUGAUUCUUAUCAACCUUAACUCAUAAUCUAAUUAUCAAAAACACAUCAUAUAAUUUAUAAAAUGUGGUUUAAAAAGUCAGUUUACCGUGCAUUCUUCUAUGAAUAGUGGAAGGUAUUGAAAUUUACCGGGAGAAAGUAAGGGUUUCUUUCCUAAAUCAAAAGGGUAUGUAUGAUCCCUUAACUAGUCUAAUGUAGGAUCAAAAGGGUAUGAUCCCUUGACUAGUCUAAUGUAGGCGCAAACGAAGUACCGUUUGCAAAUUGCCAAUUUGUCAAAUUGGAAAUACCGUAACAAUUGAUUUUCCCGAGAUAUGCCUACGAAUAUGCCAAUCCAGCUCCCAUUGAGUUGGUAACUUGGUAGCAUUCAUGCCUUGGUGCGUUUGGUACGUGGGACGGGACGGGACGGAACGGGACGAGGCGUUCCGUCCCUCGUUUGGUGCGCCAAAAAUGGGUGGAACGGGCUGUUCCACGGGACAGAUUUUGGGUGUUUUUGCGUCCCACCUCCACCCCCUGGAACGGGUUUGUUCCACGUCUGUGGAACACAAUGUUUUACCAUUUUAAGACAAAUAUACCCCAUGUCUUUUUCAAAAAUUACACCUUCGUUCCGUCCCGUCCCGUUCCGUCCCGUCCCGUUCCGUUCCGUCCCGUCCCGUCCCGUCCCGUCCCGUCCCGUUCCGUCCCGUCUGCGUACCAAACACACCCUGAGGGAACAAAUGCCAGCUUCAAAAUAAAAUUAGUAGCCACAAUGUUUACUUAAUUUCGAUGUUACACUUAUUCUGAUUUUUAACGUUUUUAUUUUUUUUACAUGUGUUUGUACCAUACUUGACCAAUCCCGAAACUACCGAGCACCGGCCAACGCUAUACUGUCAAGGACCCAGAAGAGUUCCCCUCCGACCAGGAGGCCAAUCACUACUCGACACGUGUCAAGAUUAGAAGCCAAUCAGAGCGCAGCACGUGUCGACAUCAAGAACCAAUCAUAACAUGACACAUGUCAAUGUGACAAAGCUACAAGUUUUUCUAUAAAUAGGGGUCAUCCCCCCACAAUAUUGCCUAAUGCCAUUUGUGUUAAAUCAUUCACAAGAACUCACUAAAUUGAGAGCUUGAUCCUUUGUACUUAUGUAAGCCCUUCACUACUAAUAAGAAUUCCUCUACUCCGUGGACGUAGCCAAUCUGGGUGAACCACGUACAUCCUGUGUUUGCUUCUCUGUCUCUAUUUAUUUACGUACUUAUCCUCACUAGUGACCGAAGCAACCAAGCGAAGGUCACAAAACCUGACACUUUCUGUUGUUGUACCAAAGUCUUCGCUGAUUUUGUGCAUCAACAUUUGGCGCCGUCUGUGGGAAACGACACUUAUUCCUACUCUCUUCAGCUGUGUCAAGCUGGUUUCUAUCAUUCGUACACUUUCUUUUGAUCAGGCAUCCCUCUCCAACAUGGGAAGCGAAGGAAGCCACAACACACAGAAUGACACCCCCCUUGCACAUAGUGCGAAACAACGAAAGAAGGAAGGAAAAACGAGUUCUUCUUCAAGCUAAAGUCGAUGAGUUGGAAGCUCAGAACAACAAGAUAGCAAUGAGGAAUGAGGUCCUCCAGGAGCAAUAUGAGAAGCUCUUCGAGACACUCCACGAAGCUAGGCAAGCUCAGACACGCGAGCUUGUUGCCCCCGUGGAAGUCAACCAUCAACUGGGUGCCCUCCAACAUGGAGGGUCACAUGCAUUCGACAUAGAUAUCCCUGAUAGGGAACAGAUUACCCCUCGACUUGAUAAUCAACAUGAGGCUUCUCUUAACCCAGUUGCUUCGACCCGAACCAUGAGAAGUGGAGGGAGACACCUCUUUGCUGAAGGGGCAGAAGGAUCGAAAGCCGUCUUUCGCGAUUGUCGGGAUUUCCUGAAGCAACGUCGAGAGAAUUUCCAUCCAUAUAAGCUCAAAGAUUAAUGACCCAAGGAUUUCUGAGAGACUCGGUCCCCUGCCACGGCCCAAGCCGGCCACCAAUUUGGGGAAGGGGCAACAAGUCCUAGAGAGACAUGAGGGUACAGGGGACUCAGAGGUGUUCCGACAGACAUACCCUGGAAGCCAGUACAGCGAGUCCAGGGAAAAAAUCACAUGCCCUUGAUCAAACCUUCCUAAUUCCAAUAGGAGAUGGAGAUUUACGAAAGAAAGCUCCAGUGACACAUAACUCCGCUCAGGACCCCCUUGUCCUACAACUUCUUGAGGAAGUAAACAAGUUGAAGGCUGAACGUCAGGCUGAAAUACCUGACUGGAACCAACCCAGGCCUGGCCCUCUUACAAGGAGGAUCCUCAACACCCCCCUUCAAGCAAAGACAAAGCAAAAGCUUGGCUUGCAACUUUAUACUGGAAAAGAGGACCCGAUUGAGCACCUUAACCUCUUUGAGUCCACCAUGGCAUACCGGAUGCACACCGACGAAGAGCGAUGUCUUCUCUUCCCCUCCACCCUCUCUGAUGGAGCUCUAAAUUGGUAUUGUCGUCUUACACCUGAGACGGUAGACUCAUUUGAGGAAUUGAGGAAACUAUUUGUUUCCCAACACAUUUUCCAAACCGAUCGCUUGCACUUUGCAGAUGACUUGUACACUAUCCGCCAGAAGCCAGACGAGUCAUUACGUAUGUAUGCUGGCCGCUUCAGCCAUGAAUACUCCCGGUGUGCCGAGGCAGACGACAAGACUGCCCUCAAAGCCUUCACGGCAGGCCUACGUGAUUGUUUCUUUAAAUACAUGAUCAAUGCCAAUACUUGGAAGACUUACUCUGAGGUGAUGGCGCAGGCUUAUAACCAUGCCUCCGCCGAGGCAAAGACAUAUCAGGAGAAACCCCAUACAACCAUCCUUUAUCAACAAGUGGGAGGUGGAAGCCAGACUCACCUAAAUGAGAAGACCUCGACUUUCCAAACAGCAGUGGCACCUCCCCAUGCCUUGCAUAAUGCUUCGCCGAAUCAACAGACAUAUCAAUUUCAAGGCAAGAGGAAGGAUUUCCAUCCUCACCACUCUCAUUUCAGUAAAAAGAGUAGUAAGGGACACUAUCCCGAUAACCAAGGGUAUCGCCACAAUAACGCUCGCCCCCAGGCAGUCAAUGCAGUGGGUCAAACCCGCGUCAAGAUACCCCCUACCCCAAGGUAUGAGACAUACACGCCCUUGAAUGCCACAUGCGCGGCCAUUUACCCCAGCAUAGCCCACCUGAUACCAAAGCCAAAGCCGAGGCACCCAGAUUACACGCCCCCGAAUAACGCGGGCAUGUUUUGUUGCUACCAUGAGCAUAACGGCCAUGAUAGCGAGAAAUGUAUCAUCCUCCGUGAUCGUAUUGAAGCUUUGGCACGAGAAGGAAAAAUUGAUCAAUUCCUCCUUCACCCUCAAAGGGAUAACCGUAACCAACGCCAGGUGAAUGUCAUAUAUUCCAUAAGCGGCGGCACACCCAUAUCUGAAUCUUCCAAUAGGGCCAUGAAAAACAGUGAACGAAUUCUGAGGCCUGGUCACCAAGUGUUUCACGUGGAAGACAUCAGGGGAGGGAAGUAUCAAAAGCCUAACUGGGAUCCGAUAUGUUUCUACCCUGAGGAAGAAAGAGGCAUCAUCUACCCUCAUAACGACCCAUUGAUCGUGGAGGCUCACAUAGCCAACUUUGAUGUUCGACGAAUCCUCGUAGACACAGGGGCUUCGGUCAAUAUCAUGUUUGCCGAAGCUUUCAGGGCACUCAGUGUAGCUGAACACUUGCUCGAUCGCUCGAUUUCUCCUCUGAUAAGCUUCUCCGGUGAUAUCGUGCAACCCUUAGGGAGCAUACAUUUACCCUUUACUAUUGGUACAGGCCCUUACACGGCUACCAUUACCACUAACUUCCUAGUGGUUGACUGCCCAACGGCAUACAAUGUCAUCUUUGGGCGCACAGGCAUCAAUGAUCUCAAGGCUAUGGUAUCCACGCAUAUGCUGUUGAUGAAAUUUCCAACCCCCCAUGGCAACGGCUACAUCAGAGGAGAUCAGCUUAGUGCACGAUCAUGUUACAACACUUCAGUUAAGCAACAACACUUGCCCGGACCCAAGGAAACCCUGUCUGUACAUGACCAAGUCACAAAGACCAGCCUAGAUGAAGCGAACUUGGAUCUUCCUGAUAGCAACAAUCAACCCGAUGAUCCUCGAGAUGACUCUUUCACCCAGCAAGCCCAACCUGCUGAAGAGUUGGAGAAGGUACCUAUCUCAAGAGAUUAUCCAGAUCGCAUGGUGAAGAUUGGCACCACAUUGUCACCACCCCUUCGGUUAGCAUUGAUAUCUUUUUUGAAAGAGAACACUGAAGUCUUCGCCUGGUCAUACGAGGACAUGCCAGGCAUCUCUCCCGAUGUCAUCUGUCAUCGUUUGAGUAUUGACCCCAAGAUCAAGCCGGUGAGACAGAAGCGAAGAUCUUAUGACGCUGAACGAUACGAGGCAAUGAAAGCAGAAGUUGAAAAACUCAAAGGCAUAGGCUUUGUCCGCGAAGUCAAUUACCCGACAUGGGUAGCAAAUGUGGUCCUUGUUAAGAAAAAUCCGACCAAAGAAAGUCUUUUGCUUCAAAAGGUCUUGUGGAGAAUGUGUGUUGACUACACCGACCUAAACAAAGGGUGUCCGAAAGAUAGCUUCCCUCUUCCUCUUAUUGACAGACUUAUAGACUCUACGGCCGGGUGUGAACUCCUGAGCUUCAUGGAUGCUUACUCAGGAUACAACCAAAUCCUCAUGAACCCUUCGGAUCAAGAACACACAGCCUUCACUACCGACAGAGGACUAUACUGCUAUAAAGUCAUGCCUUUCGGCCUAAAGAAUGCAGGAGCGACUUAUCAGAGACUAGUCAACUCAAUGUUCGCCGAGCAGAUUGGGAAGAGCAUGGAAGUUUACGUUGAUGAUAUGUUAGUCAAGAGCAAACAUGCUGACCAACACAUCACCAACCUAUCUGAAACUUUCACUAUUUUGAAGAGGUAUCGAAUGAGGUUAAACCCCAACAAAUGUGCCUUCGGCGUAGGCUCUGGCAAAUUCUUAGGUUUCAUGAUUAGCCAACGAGGCAUUGAAGCUAAUCCCGAGAAGAUCAAAAGCAAUCCUCGACAUGAAGGAACCGGUAACUUCAAAGGACAUCCAAAGCCUUACUGGCAAGGUGGCAGCCUUAACCAGGUUCAUUUCUAAGGCCACAGACAAAUGUGCUCCCUUUUUUAAAGCACUUAAGGGAAGUAGGAAGUACAUUACAUGGACUGAUGAAUGUGCCGAGGCAUUCAAAAACCUCAAGGAGUACAUGAGUAAAGCCCCUCUACUCUCCAAGCCCGAGGUAGGAGACAUUCUCAUUAUCUACCUAUCGGUAUCAGCUUCAGCCGUAAGUUCCGUUCUCAUUCGAAAGGAUGGGAAUAUUGAGAGCGACCUGUCUACUACGCUAGCAAAGCCUUACAAGAUGCGGAGACACGGUACUCUAACAUUGAGAAAUUGGCUCUGGCAUUGGUCAUGUCUGCUCGAAAAACUCCGCCCUUACUUCCAAGCGCACUCCAUCAUCGUGCUUACCAAUUAUCCUCUUCGACAGAUACUCCAAAGUCCUGACACUUCAGGGCGAAUGAUCAAAUGGGCAAUAGCGUUGGGUGAGUUUGACAUCUCCUACCAACCAAAAGCCAGCUGAGAAGGGCCAAGCAGUGGCAGACUUCAUUGCCGACUUCACAUAUCCGGUUGACAUUGCUUCUACACCUGAAGCAGUGGCUUCAUUACCCUCGGAAGCUCAGAAAGUAGAAUCAACGACCUCAGCAUGGAGUCUGUAUGUUGAUGGCUCAUCCAACCAACAGGGCUGUGGAGCGGGACUAGUCUUGACUACGCCCGACAAAGUAGCAAUGAAGUAUGCUCUUCGUUUCAAAUUCAAGGCAUCAAAACAAUGAGGCCGAGUAUGAAGCCCUUCUAGCAGGAUUACGUUUGGCCAAACACCUCGGGGUUAAACAAAUUGAUAUUUUCAGUGACUCCCAAUUAGUGGUCAACCAGGUUACCAACAACUUUGAUGCUAAGGACAGCUCCAUGGCAGCAUAUCUUGCGCAAACACAACUUUUGCUCAAGCACUUCCACUACCAGAUCACCCAAGUUCCUCGAGCGGCAAACAGUCAUGCAGACGCCCUGGCUCGCCUCGCCUCCGCUGUGGAAGACAAGAUUGGAAGAAAAAUUCAUGUCGAACUGUUGGCAACACCAAGCACCAUGGCCGCAGAAGUAUGCAACUUACAACAGGGGGAUAGUUGGAUCACCCCGAUCUAUAAUUUCCUUGCUCAUGGCACCCUCCCAAAUGAUAAAGUCCAGGCUAAGCAAAUUCGAUACAAGUCUACCCGCUACCUGAUCAUCAAUGAUCAACUCUAUAAGCGAGGUUUUAGCUUGCCAUACUUAAGGUGUCUUACGCCUGCCGAGGCGGAAAUCGUCCUUCGGGAAAUACAUGAGGGAGUCUGUGGAGAUCAUGCUGGAUCUCGAUCCCUAGCACACAAGACUUUUCGCCAAGGAUAUUACUGGCCAACACUCCACCAGGAUGCCAUCAAAGUAUCCCGCUCAUGUGACAAAUGUCAACGAUAUGCGACUAUUCCUCAUUCCCCUCCAGAGCCUCUUACUCCUAUGAUCAGCCCUUGGCCCUUCGCCCAGUGGGGACUUGAUUUGAUCGGCCCAAUGCCGGCAGGGAAGGGCAAAGUCUGUUACGCAGUCGUUGCAGUGGACUACUUCACAAAGUGGGCCGAAGUAGAACCCUUGGCAACCAUUACUGAGGCAAAGAUAGAAGACUUCGUGUGGAAGAACAUCCUUUGUAGAUUCGGCAUUCCCAAUGCGAUAGUCACUGACAAUGGGCGACAGUUUGACAACAAGAGGUUCAGGUUGUUCUGCUCUAAGUUCAACAUCAACUUAUGCUUUGCCUCUCCAGCUCAUCCCCAGUCUAAUGGACAAGUUGAGGCCAUCAACAAAAUAAUCAAGCGCACUUUGAAAACCAGUUUGGACAAAGCUAAAGGCUGUUGGCCAGAAUUUGUACCCCAAGUUCUUUGGUCAUAUCGCACUUCAUAUCGGACUUCAACAGGAGAAAACUCCAUUCUCACUUGCCUUUGGCACAGAGGCGGUUGUCCCUGUUGAGCUCGAGCAAGCAACAUUCCGAGUCCAGAACUACAUUCAAAGUGAAAAUGACAAACAACUCACCCUCAACUUGGAUUUAGUCGAGGAACACAGAAACCAAGCUCACUUGAGGAAUGUCGCCUACAAGCAGCGCAUCUCCAACUAUUAUGACUCUAGGGUCAAGCCUCGUUCUUUCAAAAUAGGAGACUGGGUCUUAAAGAAAAGAUUACUCUGCGACAGAGUCCCGAGUGAAGGCACACUUAGUCCAAACUGGGAUGGACCGUAUGAAGUCAUUGGCAUCAGUCGCCCUGGCUCUUACACACUUAGAAGCUCCGAUGGCAAGACCCUUGGCCAUCCAUGGAACGCUGAUCACUUGAAGUACUACUACAAAUAGACUCACGAUGUACAAGUGUUGAGCAAUAGCCGUUCGGCAUCCUAUGUAAUGAAGGCCAUUUGGCAAUGAAUUCAAUAAAGAGGUAAUUUAGCCAACUCAGCCCUCACUCUUUUACAUUCAUAGCAAGCGAUGCCGGAACCCUUCUCAAUCAAAAAGCAAUCCGUCUUCCACAGUCACUACAAAACAAGCAAAUGAAGACCGUGUCAAGCGCCAAAAAAAAAAAAAAAAAAAAAAAAAAAAAAAAAAAACAGCUUCAUCCAAAAAGCUUCACCCGAAAAGCUUCACCUCCAAAGCUUCACCCACAAAGCUUCACCUAAAAAGCUUCACCCAAAAAGCUUCACCCGAAAAGCUUCACCCGAAAAGCUUCACCUCCAAAAGCUUCACCCACAAAGCUUCACCUAAAAAGCUUCACCCACAAAGCUUCACCCAAAAAAAAACUUCACCCGAAAAGCUUCACUUAAAAAAGCUUCACCUACAAAGCUUCACCUAAAAAGCUUCACCUAGAAAGCUCCCUCUACAUACUUUCACCAUCAAAGCUUCACCAUCAAAGCUUCACCUAGAAAGCUUCAUCUACAAAGCUUCAUCUACAAAGCUUCACCAUCAAAGCUUCACCUAGAAAGCUUCAACACCAAAGCUUCACCUACAAAGCUUCAACACAAAAACCUUGCUCCAAAUAAACAAAUUUUGUUCACAAAACCCAAGAUGCCCUUGAACUUGUACAAAAACACUUGGGUAAACAUAAACAUUUUUUGUUUUACACCCACAAGGGCCCAAAAUUUUCCUUCUUAUUUAUUCACUUAUAUAUGUUCCCAAACAUAUUAUAAUAGAUCCAACAACAAGCCAAAGUCCCAAGUUUCAUAAUGGACAAAAGUACAAGCAAUUCAUCAAUAAUGAAGGUGCUACAAAAAUUGGAAUCUGCCCCAAAAUAGAAAUCCAACCCAAGAGACUUUUUCUCUAUCUCCCUCUUCCGCCUCCUUUCAUCUAUCAAAUUUCUGCAACCUCUGCUCUUCUCCAAUGGAGCUGAAUUUUAGGACACCCUAUAGUUCUUGAGCAUAUGAACAACUUUCAAGAAGGAACCAUUUCUGUUUGAGCGACGGAAAUUACAGUGUUGAAGCUCCAAACAUGAUAGUCGGCUUCUUGCAGAUUUCGAAGCUGUUGUGAUGUUUCGAAGAUCUGGAAAAUAUUUAACCGUUAGUUCAUUCCUGAAUUUUUGAUAUGUUAUGAAAGAGUCGAUGAGGAACAACUUCAAUGAAGAAAGCAUACCGAUCUGAACAAGAGAAAAUGGAGUUUCGAAGCUCACAACAAAUCUGACGGGUUGACAGAAAAAUAAUAACCAGUCAUUCAUCAUACCUGGAUUUCUGGAGUUAUACUGCUCCGAGGGAUCUCAAAUUUGGAUAUGUUGUAGUUCACAAGCUGAGGAACAACUUCAAUGAAGAAAGCAUGCUGAUCUGAGCAAGAGAAAAUAGAGUUUCAAAGCUCACAACAAAUCUGACGGGUUGACAGACAAAUGAUAAACAGUCACUCAUCAUACCUGGAUUUUCUGGAGUUUAUACUGCUCCGAGGGACCUCACAAUUUGGAUAUGUUGUAGUUCACAAGUUAAGGAACAACUUCGAUGAAGAAAGUAUGUUGAUCUGAACAAGAGAAAAUGGAGUUUCGAAGCUCACAACAAGUCUGACGGAUUAACAGAACAUUGAUGAACAGUUACUCAUCAUACUUGAAUUUCUGAAGUUGUACUACUCCGAUGGAUCUCAAAUUUGGAUAUGUUGUAGUUCACAAGAUAAGGAAAAACUUUCAUGAAGACGACUUUGCAAUCUGAGCUAUAGAGAAAGGUGUUAUCUUGCAUCCACUCAGGCUGAUUAGUGGAAACGAAAAGCAAUUCCACCAAAGAAAAGAUGAAAAAGAGAGAAAAGCUACUAAUUGCACUUGAUCUUGUCUAGUCAAUAGCAUGCAGCAUCAAACACACAAAAGUUGGAAAUAUUUUUUAUUUUUAGAUAAAGCAUAUACGAAUGUGUGUGACAUCGAAACAAGGAUUCGUUACUUUGACAAAUUAGUAACACGCGAGACACCUCAUUCGGCAACUCUCUUCGCCUGAAGACUUGGGGGACUCCCACCAUAUGCUACUGCACCUUGAUACUCGGCAGUCUCACAACCACUCAGUGACUUGGAUUUUUCAAGUCUCCAACCGAGAAGUUUUCCUCACUCGGGAAAUUAAGGGAACACUACCCCAAACUACAUGCUUCACUCACAAAGCUUCAACAAUACAGGUUUCAACAAAAGCAAAAAUUCAAAGAACUUUAUGAAGAAGGCUUUGGUGUAUUUAACACAAUAUGUUGAAAUGAAGCAAAGCUUAUUUAUUAAUAUUUUCGAUAAGCCACAAAUAUGUACAUAUACAUGAGUCAAAAUAAACAAACAAAAGGGAGCCUUCACAAAGGUUGCUUAGGGGAAGUCUCAGCAGUCGGUAGAGCCCCAGAAAGAGAAAGCACCGGAGGGUGGUUAUCCGGAGCCUCAGUACUUGACAAAAACCCCAGAAGGAGGAGGCAUUGGAGGUUCAUCAUUUGAAGCUUCAUUACCAGGUACAGCCCCAGAGGACGAUGGCAAUAAAUGCCUUUGGAACAAACCCACAAACCGCUGAUGAUCAAGUAAAACCUUACCAUCAGAUUCCUUCAUCUGGUCAAGCUUCCUCUUCAUGUUUUGUAGCAUAGUCAUGGGCGAGCCGGUGCAACUGCUUAUUCUCAUGCUUGAGCCCUCUAAUCUCCUGUUUGAGACUCAUCACUUCAGCAGCCAAUGAUUCAACUUGGCGGGUUCUAGCAAAUAGGCGUUGGGCCAUAUUAGACACAGAACCUGCACACUGAACACUAAGAGCCAAAGAGUCCUUAACAGCCAACUCAUCAGACCGUUUGGAAAGUAGUCUGUUAUCUUUGGGAGUGAGAAGGUUCCUGGCCACCACUGCAGCGGUCAUAUCAUUCUUCAUCACAGAAUCCCCAACGGUAAGAGGACCAGUAGGGGAUAUGAAGGAUGGGCGCCAUAUGUUGUCUGGAGAAGGCGUGGCUGUCUCUUCUCCAAGGUUCAAGUCAAAACGACGGUCGGAGGGUCCAGACAUUUUCAAAUGUGUUGAAGAAGGAAGAGGUCAGACAAAUCAAGAUCUUAGAAGUGCAAGAAAUGAACUUCUACUGGUAGAGAUUCAAGUGUGCUGUGGAACUUAAUGUCAGCCUCUAUAAAAAUCUGCACUCGACGGAGCUUCAGAAAUCGAAGAGGCGUUUGCUUUCUCAAAAGCUGGGCUGCUCAGAGACCACGAGUGCCGAUCUCAGAAAUCGAAGAGGCGUUUGCUUUCUCAAAAGCUGGGCUGCUCAGAGACCACGAGGGCCGAUCUCAGAAAUCGAAGAAGCACCUGCUUUUUCAGCCUCGUCAGCACCUGUCACAUGCACAAUCAGCUUUGCGGAAAUUACGGGCACUCUGUCGAAGAUUUCUGGUGAAGUAGAAAGCACGUGAAUCUUACUGUUCAAUCACCGCUCUCCAUAUGCACCAUCAACUCCUCGGGUACCACAUAUAACUUUGUCAAAGAUCUCUGACAAAGUUUAGGCACGAGAAUUUCGAAGUUCCAGCUACCCUACUAUUACCCAUAAGGGUAAAGGAACAACACCACUGCUUGACAACUGGAAAGUCCCUAUGUGUGUCGACCUCCGUGUUUUGCGGCAAGACAGGUUGGCAAGAACGUCCAACCUUUACUCACAUUCGAGAAAAGACUCCCAACAUAAUUACUUUCUCAAAAAACCGGAGUAGCACCGCUUUCCGAAUCUCGAGAGUCAGAUCCUCGACGGGAUUGCUUGUUCGAAAACCGAAGAGGCACAACUCUCAGAACUUCGAGAGCCAGAUUUCCUUAGAUAAAGCUUGUCUGUAAUCUUCACACGUAAUAUCAGCUUUCCAGAUACCACAUACCACUUUUUCAAAGUGCUCUGACAAAAUUAAAACACGUGAAGCUGGCAGCUCCCACUACAUUGCUGUGACCAAGAAGGGUAAAGGAAUAGCAUUACUACUUGUUAUUGGGAAAUCCCUAUAUACAUUGACCUCCCUCCUCAACGGACAGGCAAACCUGCAAAAAUGCUCAACCCUUUCUCGCAUUCGAAAAGGCACCCUCAACAUAACCUCUCGAAAUACUCAGCUUUAUUUCCCCCCGAUAAUACCUCAGCAAAUAAGCCACACCAAGAACAAGAGUAUCUCAUAUCAUCAGGGUCGAAAGCAAGAGUAUCCCAUAUCAUGCUUUCUCCCUGUCUUUGUCUUUGUCCUUGUCCACACCUGCAGGACAAGGAGAAAGAGAGCAGUCAGUCGGAACCUGAAAUCAAACCUCCAAUUUGGAACUGACUACCUGGAGCCUUUGCCUGGUUACUUACUUAGCAUUGCUCUCGAGUACUCAUCCUCAACUGCUGUCAAGGUCACGAAUUCCACCGGCAAAUACUUCAUGACAGUUGAUCAGAUAUUGGCUCUUUACACUGAAGCUGCCAAGCGUGGAUGAGUCACUAUGAAGGAAUGUUCUGAAGGACCAUUUAAAUGCAAAGGUUGCACACCACUUCUGCCAUGCAAAAGAUUGAAGCAGAAGGUUCAACGGUGAGCUGAAACAGAUCACUACAGCACGACACCUUUCCAUACCACAUUCAUUAUUCCGUCAACAGCAAAAGUAUCCCAUAUCAUCAAGGUCGAACGUACUCUAGAUUUGAUGGACUUGUUUUGACCCUCAAAUUUUUUGAGUCGGCCUUAUACUCUGAAGGGCACCAGAAAACCCUCCAGCACAGUUCAAGAAUAAGCCUGUGGAAAGUUACUUCUUCAAAAGCAAAAGUAUCUCAUAUCAUCUCUUAUCCAUUUGCUUCUCCUUAUCCUGGCAGUUGAAUGAGAGACAAGGAGAAGGAGAACAAUCAACCGGAAGCCGAAGUCAAACCUCUGAUCCUGGGUUGCUUACUUGGAAGUUUGACUGCUUACCUUGUCUGUCACCUCUUUCGGCAGAUCUCCUAGCUCGGCGACUUGGGGGACUCCUACUAUAGGGUUUGUAUCACACUUGACUAAGCCCGAAACUACAACUAAGCUUCAAGUGAAAUUGAUACAUUACCUUGUGCGUCAACAUCAGCUAAAUACACCAUUCCCGGAUGGAGGAAAGGUACUUCCAGAGAAGGGCAGAUGAAGAUCAGACCACACUUCGGUAUUUAGAAGUUUCGUGAUUACUCAAGGGAUUGGAUCUUGCAAGUCCCCAACCGAGGAGUUUCCCUCACUCGGGAACUUAGGGGAGCACUGUUUGUACCAUACUUGACCAAUCCCGAAACUACCGAGCACCGGCCAACGCUAUACUGUCAAGGACCCAGAAGAGUUCCCCUCCGACCAGGAGGCCAAUCACUACUCGACACGUGUCAAGAUUAGAAGCCAAUCAGAGCGCAGCACGUGUCGACAUCAAGAACCAAUCAUAACAUGACACAUGUCAAUGUGACAAAGCUACAAGUUUUUCUAUAAAUAGGGGUCAUCCCCCCACAAUAUUGCCUAAUGCCAUUUGUGUUAAAUCAUUCACAAGAACUCACUAAAUUGAGAGCUUGAUCCUUUGUACUUAUGUAAGCCCUUCACUACUAAUAAGAAUUCCUCUACUCCGUGGACGUAGCCAAUCUGGGUGAACCACGUACAUCCUGUGUUUGCUUCUCUGUCUCUAUUUAUUUACGUACUUAUCCUCACUAGUGACCGAAGCAACCAAGCGAAGGUCACAAAACCUGACACUUUCUGUUGUACCAAAGUCUUCGCUGAUUUUGUGCAUCAACAACAUGUAUAUGUAAAAUUAAAAAGCAUUUUGUUUAUAAAUUAUGAUUUGCGAUCAAAUACGCACAAAAUAGAAUUAUAUUGAUUAUUAGAAUAGUUAAUUUCGCUCCUCGUCCUCUAGUCGACUGAUCUAGACUUUUCCGAUUCAUAAUAUCAUAAAGGGCAGCUCCUCCUCCAUUGAAUCGAUUCAAAUCCUUCCCUUGAAAUUUGACCAAACAAACCUAAUUUGGUACUGAUCAAAUAAAAAGGAAGAGAAAAUAAAAACCUAGUUUGAUGGGCCGCCGGCCCCAAUGCGCUUUUUUGGGAGUGAGCAAGCGAAAGGUCAGCCAGGCUAAGUGGAAGAAUAGUAAAUAAAUGCGAUCAACAGGGUCAUGUCGUAGAAAUGACGCGAGGGUUUAGCUAACUUUGGACCAAGAGGCGCAUAUAGCAAAAACCGGAAUCAACAAGGGCAAGAGGAGAGGAGAGGAGAGCCCCAUUUCUAACAAAGCAUCUGGCAGCGAGAGUUUGGGAGAGAAUACCUCUCUUCUUCCAUUUCCCUCACUCUCUCUCCUUCUUCAUCUCCCAAAUCUCAGAGCAAUCACUCUCUCUACCAUGGCUCUCUCAGAUAAGCAGUCGCGUCAGGCUCUGAUCCCGAGCUUCCUCUACAGAUCCUCAUCCUCCAUCGCGCUGGAGAAGAUGCUCUACGCCAGGCCUAACGGCGGCUUCACGCCGAAUGCCACCGUCGAAGGAGUCUCCGCCAGGAAGGGCCUCGUCAUUCCGUCGCCCAGCGAGCCCUUGGGGAAGAUCGAGAUGUACUCGCCUUCCUUCUACGCUGCCUGUACUUUUGGAGGAAUUCUUAGCUGUGGUCUCACUCACAUGGCCGUCACUCCCCUUGACCUCGUCAAGUGCAAUAUGCAGGUCAGAUCCCGAGCUUUUUCUUCUCCCAGCUCUUAUCUCUGAUUUUAUUUCGGUUAUGUAUGCUUAUCAUACAAUGCUUCUUUUAUCUGAUUAGAUCUGUUCUAUUUUUCCUUGGAUUUUGCUCGUAACAUUUCAUUUUUGUAUGUACCUGUGUAUGUUCAUCCAGAAAUGUUGUCCAGGUUUUUGGACUGCUUAGGUAUCGAUUUAUUAUCCAUGGCUCACAUAUUGGCUGUUAAUAUUGUAUAUUUUGUUUCUUAAUUCCACUGCAUCAUGAUCUAAACUGGAUCUGUAUCGAUUGAUCGCUUUCAAUCUGACAUUUGUAUUAAUUCGUUCAUUUAGUUAUUUAGCUUGUAAGGUCUUUAAUGUAAGAUGUUUGUUUGGUUUGUAUCGGAGACAUUUGUGACUUGCACAUAGUUCUUACUUCACUUAACGGCGUAGGUAGAUAAUUUGAUUGACAAUGUGGCUAUUAUUCGUUGAUUUUUCAGAUUGAUCCUGCAAAGUACAAAAGCAUCACAUCUGGUUUUGGAAUUCUGCUCAAGGAGCAGGGAGUUAAGGGCUUUUUCAGGGGAUGGGUGCCUACCCUCCUUGGUUACAGUGCUCAGGGUGCCUGCAAGUUUGGAUUCUAUGAGUUUUUCAAGAAGUACUACUCUGACCUUGCUGGACCAGAGUUUGCUGCCAAGUACAAGACCUUGAUCUACCUUGCUGGUUCUGCAUCUGCUGAGGUCAUUGCCGAUGUUGCUCUUUGCCCCUUUGAGGCAGUCAAGGUCCGUGUGCAAACUCAGCCUGGAUUUGCUAGAGGUUUGUCAGAUGGACUUCCUAAGUUUGUCAGAUCUGAAGGUGCUCUUGGGUAAGUUGUACUGCGUCAUCGUUGUAUGUGUAUUAUCACACACAGAUGCAUGUUUUGUUGCUUUAGGUUUCAAACAAUAUUCUGUCGUUAAGAUUAACAUGUUUCAAUUACAGGUUGUACAAGGGUCUUGUUCCACUAUGGGGACGUCAAAUUCCAUGUAAGUUGGAAAGAUCUGAAUACAUGACCGUUUUUAUCUUGAUACUCAUGUGAACUGCAGCUUUGACAUUUCUGUAUAUGAUUUGAAAGGAUUAUUCUGUUGUACUGUGAUGCACCAUGCAUGGAACCCCUUUUAAACAUGAAAGUGAUUGUUUCAGAGAUGCAAUUCAUAACCACAAACUUGAAAACUUUAGCUUUGAACUUUUGAGUACCAUUUCUAUGUCAUGUUUAGUCUGAAGUUUGUAUGUUGUUCCAUCUCUUCUUCUUCCGUGCUUCCGCGAGUUACUUGGAUUGUUUGCACAAUAAGCAAUUGAGGUCAUGCUACUGUUGCAUUUUUCUAGAUUUAGACAGAUAGCAAGAAUUUUUUGUUGCUGCAUUUUCAUUAAGCUGUUUCUGAAACUUGCCAAAUAGGUGCUGAAAUUAUAUACUUGGAGUUAUGAUCUGUAAGCGGUAUUUCUCGUUAUGGUAUGCUUUACUUGAGAACUUGAGAACAAAAUUGCAUUUACUUAUCUACUUGUUCUUUCUUGCAGACACCAUGAUGAAGUUUGCCUCAUUUGAAACAAUUGUGGAGAUGAUCUAUAAAUAUGCCAUCCCUAGGCCUAAGAGCGAGUGCUCCAAAUCUUUGCAGCUUGGUGUGAGUUUUGCUGGUGGAUACGUGGCCGGUGUAUUCUGUGCUAUUGUAUCUCAUCCUGCUGACAAUCUUGUCUCUUUCCUCAACAAUGCCAAAGGAGCAACAGUUGGUGAUGUGAGUGCUAUGGUUUCUGGACAAUGUUUGUUGUACAUCUUCAUCCCUGCUCUGUUUUGACUGUUUUGAUUUCUGGCUGUGCAGGCUGUGAAGAAGAUUGGAGUGGUUGGUCUCUUUACCCGUGGGCUUCCUCUUCGGAUUGUCAUGAUUGGAACUCUUACUGGAGCUCAGUGGGGUAUCUAUGAUGCAUUCAAAGUUUUUGUCGGGCUGUAAGUCAAUCCUUCAUGCUACUAUUUGUUUUAUUAUUAGUUCAUUUAAAUGGAUGGUUAGGUGAUUUUUGUGAAAUUGGUAUAUUUCAGGCCAACAACUGGUGGUGCUCCCCCUCCAGUUGCUGCUGCUUCUGAGCUUUCUAAGGUGUAAACUGCUGGGUGAUCAACCGCAUCAACUUCGUUGUUUUUGGAACUGAAAAUUUGUCAUACGAAAUAAGCGUAGGAUUGCUGAAGUUGUUUAAAUGGCUUCAAAGAGGAGUAUUGUUUCUUUUACAUUUGGAAACCGGAUCCAUUUUCCCCCAUAUUUGACUAGUCUGGUUUUGUGGGGAUGGUUUUGCUCUCAUCCUAUUUUAAAAGACGUAUUUGUAGUUAGAUGAGAUAUGAAUUUGAAAUUUGAUUGUUAAAGAGUAGGCAAUAAAAAAUCAUGUUAGAUGGGGUAUUUUCGUUGCCAUCCCGAAAGGCGUGGGAAUUAUGACGGACUAUUUAUAUUUCUUCUCGAGGAGAAAUUUUCAGGUACCGGUCACAUUUGGUGAGCUGGAAUUCUUCACUAAUAACUGUUUGACAUCUGUCAUACCACUCAAUUAACUGUGAUUAAUGAAUUUCAUUGAAAUACCUAUUUUAUCCUUGUAUAUUCAUUUUAGUCGGUUUGCAAAUUCGAACAUAAGUCAUCGAUCAAUCUAUACUAUUUUAUCCUUGUAUAUUCAUUUUAGUCGGUUUGCAAAUUCGAACAUAAGUCAUCGAUCAAUCUAUAUCUUUUCACCUUUGCCUCAUUAUGAAGUUUUGAAAAAUUAAGGUAAGACCUUUCUUUGCUAUUCUUGAGGGUGGAAUCUCAUUCUAAGUUUUUAACAUUUUUUUAGGCCUCACUAUAUGUUUUCACUUACUUUCAGCUUAAAUAUUAUCCUAAACAUACAUUUAUUGCUCAAUAAACUGUAAAAUCGUUUCUAAAUGCCUUAUAAAGUUGUCUUUAAUGCUCAAGGAAAAUAUUAAAGUUGUCUUUAAUACUCACGGUUUUUAGUUGUUAUGCAAAUUUGUACAUAAAUCAUCAUUCAAUUUAUUUCUUUUCUCCUUCGUCUCACCAUGAAGUUUUGAAAAUUAAGGUAAAACUUUCCGUUGAUAUUCUUGUGGGUGAUACCCCAUUUAAGUUUUUAACAAUGUUUUGGGCCUCACUAUUUUAUUUUUUCCCUUAUUUUCUUAGUUUUCAGCUUAAAUAUUAUACUUUACAUGUAUUUAUUGCUCAAUAAACUGUAAAAUCAUUUCUAAAUGCCUUAUAAUGUUUUUUUUAAUGCUCAAGGAAAAUAUUUCGCAAAAACAAAAAAUUUGAAUUUUUAACAAGAAACGUGGGUUAACACUCACGGUUUUUUAGUUGUUAUGCAAAUUCGUACAUAAAUCAUCAUUUAAUCUAUUUCUUUUCAUCUUCACCUCACCAUGAAGUUUUGAAAAUUAAGGUAAGUCUUUCCGUUGAUAUUCUUGAGGGUAGAACCCCAUAUGACAAUGUUUUGGGCCUCAUUACUAUAUUUUUUUUACUUAUUUUAUUAGUUUUCGUCUUAAAUAUUAUUAUAUUAUACUAAACAUACAAUUAUUGCUCAAUAAACCGUUAAACCACUUCCAAAUGCCUUAUAAAGUUGUCCUUAAUCCUCAAGAAACAUAUUUUGUGAAAAAAAAAAUUGAAUUUUUUUACAAAAAAAACAUGGGUUAACACUCAUGGUUUUCAGUCAAUUUUGCAAAUCCAUACAUAAAUCUUCGUUCAAUCUAUUUCUUUUCACCUUCGCCUCACCGUGAAGUUUUGAAAAUUAAGGUAAAACUUUCCGUUGAUAUUCUUGAGGGUAGAAUCCCAUAUGACAAUGUUUUUUGCCUCACCAAUAUAUUUUUCAUUUAUUUUUUAAGUUUUCGGAUUAAUUAUUCUAUUAAAUAUACAUUUGUUGCUCAAUAAAUCGUAAAUCCGCUUCCAAAUGCCUUAAAAAGUUUUACUUAAUAGUCAUGGACAACAUUUCCCUAAAAAAAAAUAAUUUGCAUUUUUGACAAAAAAGUGGUUUAACACUUACAGUUUUUAGUCGGUUUUGCAUAUCCAUAUAUAAAUCAUCGUUCAAUCUAUUUCUUUUCACCUUCGCCUCACCUGGAAGUCCUAAUAAUUAAGGUUAGACUUUUUGUUGAUAUUGUGGAGGGCAGAACCCCAUUUUAACAAGGUUUUGGGACUCACUACUACAUUUUUUUUUAGUUUUCGGCUUAAUUAUUCUACUAAAUAUACAUUUGUUGCUCAAUAAAUUGUAAAUCCGCUUCCAAAUGCUUUAAAAAGUUUUACUUAAUAGUCAUGGACAACGUUUCACAAAAAUAAAUAAUUUGCAUUUUUCGCAAAAAAAAAAAACCGUGGUUUAACACUUACGGUUUUUAAUCGAUUUUGCAAAUUCAUACAUAAAUCAUCGUUCAAUCUAUUCCUUGUCAACUUCGCCUCACCAUGAAGUUUUGAAAAUUAAGGUAAGACUUUUCAUUGAAAUUCUUGAGGGUGGACCCCACUUUAAGUUUUUAACAAUGUUUUGGUCCCCACUACUAUAUUUUUCACUUAUUUUCUUAGUUUCCGGCUUAAAUAUUAUUCUAAAUAUACAUUUAUUGAUCAAUAAACCAUAAAACCACUUCUAAAUGCCUUAUAAAGUUUUCCUUAGAGCUUAAGAAAAAUAUUUUGUGAAAUAAAAAAAUUUGAAUUUUUAACAAAAAACGUGGGUUAACACUCACGAUUUUUAGUCGGCUUAACAAAUUCGUACAUAAAUCAUCGAUCAAUCUAUUUCUAUUCACCUUCGCCUCACUGUGAAGUUUUGAAAAUUAGGGUAAGACUUUCCGUUGAUAUUCUUGAGGAUAGAAUGUAAGAUCCUACAUCGACUAACGGAGAGAGGGUGAUGUGCCUUAUAUGUACAUGCCCACCUCCCUAUAGCAGGAGGCCUUUUGGGAACUCACUAGCUUUAGGUUUCAUCGGAACUCCGAAGUUAAGCGAGUUUAGGCGAGAGCAUUCCUAGGAUGGGUGACCCACUGAGAAGUUCUUGUGUCAGUUUCCAGAAACAAAACCAUGAGGCAAUGGUAAGCCCAAAACGAACAAUAUCGUGUUAUGGCAGAGCCGAGACUGGGAUGUGACAAUGAAUCCCAUUUGACAAUGUUUUUGCUCGCUACUAUAUUUUUUUCACUUAUUUUCUUAGUUUUCAGCAUACUAAACAAACAUUUAUUACUCAAUAAACCGUAAAACCACUUCUAAAUGCCUUAUAAAGUUAUCCUUAAAGGUCAAGGAAAAUAUUUUACGAAAUUAAAAAUUUUGAAUUUUUAACAAGAAAAGUGGGUUAGCACUAACGAUUUCUAGCUGUUUUGCAAAUUCGUACUUGAAUCAUCGUUCAAUAUAUUUCUUUUCACCUUCAUCUCAUUGUGAAAUUUAAAAAAAAAAUCAAGGUAUGACUUUUCGUUAAUAUUCUUGAGGGUGGACCCCAUUUUAAGUUUUUAACAAUGUUUUGGUUCUCACUACUAUAUUUUCCACUUAUUUUCUUUGUUUCGGCUUAAAUAUUAUACUAAAUAUGCAUUUAUUGCUCAAUAAAUCGUAAAACCGCUUCUAAAUGACUUAUAAAGUUUUUCUUAAUGCUGAAGAAAAAUAUUUCGUGAAAAUAAAAAAGAAUUGAAUUUUUAACAAAAAACAUGGGUUAACACUCAUGAUUUUUAGUUGGCUUUGCAAAUUUGUACACAAAUCAUCUUUAAAUCUAUUUCCUUUCACCUUCAUCUCACUGUGAACUUUUGAAAAUUAAGGUAAGACUUUCCAUUGAUAUUCUUGACGGUAGAACCUCAUAUGACAAUGUUUUGGGCCUUACUACUAUAUUUUUUCACUUAUUUUCUUAGUUUUCAGCUUAAAUAUUAUACUAAACAAACAUUUAUUGCUCAAUAAACCUUAAAACUGCUUCUAAAUGCCUUAUAAAGUUGUCCUUAUUGCUCAAGGAACAUAUUUCACGAAAAUAAAAAAUUUGAUUUUUUAACAAAAAAAUGUGGGUUAACAUCACGGUUUUUAGUCAGUUUUGCAAAUCAUACAUAAAUCAUCGAUCAAUCUAUUUAUUUCCACUUUCACCUCACCAUGAAGUUUUGAAAAUUAAGGUAAGUCUUUCUGUUGAUAUUCUUGAAGGUAGGAUCUCAUUUGACAAUGUUUUGGGCCUCGCUACUAUAUUUUUUUCACUUUUUUUCUUAGUUUUCGGCUUAAAUAUUAUACAAAGCACACAUUUAUUGCUCAUUAAAUCGUAAAAUUGCUUCUAAAUGCCUUAUAAAGUUGUCCUUAAUGCUCAAGGAAAAUAUUUCAUGAAAAUAAAAAAUUUGAAUUUUUCACAAGAAAAGUGGGUUAACACUCACAGUUUCUAGCUGUUUUGCAAGUUCGUCCAUGUAACAUCCCACAUCGCCCAGGGGAGUGGAUCCUGUAAGCCUUAUAUGUAUAUUCUCAUCUCUACCUAGCACGAGGCUUUUUGGGAACUCACUGGCUUCCGAUUCCAUUGGAACUCCGAAGUUGAUAUUCUUCAAGGUAGGAUCUCAUUUGACAAUGUUUUGGGCCUCGCUACUAUAUUUUUUUCACUUUUUUUCUUAGUUUUUGGCUUAAAUAUUAUACAAAGCACACAUUUAUUGCUCAUUAAAUCGUAAAAUUGCUUCUAAAUGCCUUAUAAAGUUGUCCUUAAUGCUCAAGGAAAAUAUUUCAUGAAAAUAAAAAAUUUGAAUUUUUCACAAGAAAAGUGGGUUAACACUCACAGUUUCUAGCUGUUUUGCAAGUUCGUCCAUGUAACAUCCCACAUCGCCCAGGGGAGUGGAUCCUGUAAGCCUUAUAUGUAUAUUCUCAUCUCUACCUAGCACGAGGCUUUUUGGGAACUCACUGGCUUCCGAUUCCAUUGGAACUCCGAAGUUAAGCGAGUAGCGCGCGAGAGCAAUCCCAUGAUGGGUGACCCACUGGGAAGUUCUCGUGUGACUUCCUAGAAACAAAACUGUGAGGGCGUAGUCGGGUCCUAAAACGGACAAUAUCGUGCUAUAGUGGUGGAGCGGGCCCGGGAUGUGGUGGACCCUGGGCCGGGAUGUGACAAUUUGGUAUCAGAGCCUAACCCCGGCCAUGGUGUGCCGAUGAGGACGUCGGGCCCCUCAGGGUGGUGGAUUGUGAGAUCCCACAUCACCUAGGGGAGUAAUCCUUAUAUGUAUAUUCUCUUCUCUACCUAGCACGAUGCCUUUCACUGGUUUCGAGUUCCAUCGGAACUUCGAAGUUAAGCGAGUUCGCGCGAGAGCAAUCCCAUGAUGGGUGACCCACUAGGAAGUUCUCGUGUGAGUUCCCAGAAACAAAACCGUAAGGGCGUGGUUGGGGCCCAAAGCGGACAAUAUCGUGCUACGGCGAAGUUGAGCCCGGGAAGUAGUCCCGCCCGGGCCUGGAUGUGACAGUACAUGGAUCUUUGUUCAAUUUAUUUCUUUUCACCUUCACCUCAUAUGAAAAUUUUAAAAUCAAGGUAUGACUUUUCGUUGAUAUUCUUGAGGGUGGACCCCAUUUUUAGUUUUUAACAAUGUUUUGGGCCUCACUACUAUAUUUUUCACUUAUUUUCUUCGUUUUCGGCUUAAAUAUUAUACUAAAUAUACAUUUAUUGCUCAAUAAACUGUAAAGUUGCUUCUAAAUGACUUAAAAAGUUUUUCUUAAUGUUGAAGAAAAAUAUUUUGCAAAAAUAAAAAAUUUGAAUUUUGAACAAAAAACGUGGGUUAACACUCACUGUUUUAAGUCAAUUUUGCAAAUAGUACAUAAAUCAUUGAUCAAUCUAUUUAUUUCCACCUUUGCCUCACCGUGAAGUUUUGAAACUUAAGGUAAGACUUUCUAUUGAUAUUCUUAAGGGUAGAAUCUCAUUUGACAAUGUUUUGGGUCUCGCUACUAUAUUUUUUCACUUAUUUUCUUAGUUUUCGGCUUAAAUUUUAUAAAAAAAAUAUACAUUUAUUGCUCAAUAAAUUGUAAAACCACUUCUAAAUGCUUUAUAAAGUUGUCCUUAAUUCUCAAGGAAGAUAUUUCAUGAAAAUAAAAAAUUUAAAUUGGUAAAAAAAAAAAAAAAGUGGAUUAACGCUCAUGGUUUUUAGUUGAUUUUGCAAAUCUGUACAUAAAUCAUCAUUCAAUCUAUUUCUUUUCACCUUCGCCUCAUUGUGAACUUUUGAAAAUUAAGGUAAGACUUUCGUAGAUAUUUUUGAGGGUAGAAUCUCAUUUGACAAUGUUUUGGGCAUCACUAAUACAUUUGUAAACUUAUUUUCUUAGUGUUCAACUUAAAUAUUAUACUAAACAUAUAUUUAUUGCUCAAUAAACCUUAAAACCGCUUCUAAAUGCCCUAUAAGGUUGUCCUGAUUGCUUAAGGAACAUAUUUCGCAAAAAUAAAAAAUUUGAAUUUUUAACAAAAAAAAACGUGGGUUAACACUCAAAGUUUUUAGUCGAAUUUGCAAAUUCAUACAUAUUUUAUCGUUCAAUCUAUUUAUUUUCACCUUUGCCUCACUGUGAAAUUUUGAAAAUUAAGGUAAUACUUUCCGUUGAUAUUCUUAAGGGUGGAACCCCAUAUGACAAUGUUUUGGGCCUCACUACUAUAGUUUUCACUUAGUUUUUUAGUGUUCAGCUCAAAUAUUUUUCUGAAUAUACAUUUGUUGCUUAAUAAAUCUUAAAUCCACUUCCAAAUGCCUUUAAAAGUUUUACAUAAUAGUCCCGGACAACAUUUUGUGAAAGUAAAAGAAUUGCAUUUUUGAAAAAAAAACAUGUGUGCUCACGAUUUUUAGCCAAUUUUGCAAAUUCGUACAUAAAUCAUCGUUCAAUCUAUUUCUUUUGACCUUUGCCUCACCGUGAUUUUCUAGAGGGUGGAACCCCAUUUUUACAAUGUUUUGGUCUCACUACUAUAUCUUUCACUUAUUUUCUUUAUUUACGGCUUAAAUAUUGUACUAAACAUUCAUUUAUUGCUCAAUAAACUGUAAAACAGCUUCUAAAUGCCUUAUAAAGUUGUCCAUAAUGCUCAAGAAAAAUAUUUGGUGAAAAUAAUUUUUUUUGAAUUUUUAAUAAGAAUUGUGGGUUAAUACUCACGGUUUUUAGGUCGUUUUGAAAAUUCAUACAUAAAUCUUGCCCAAUCUAUUUCUUUUCACAUUUGCCUCACCAUGAAGUUUUGAAAAUUAAAGUAAGACCUUCCGUUGAUAUUCUUGAGGGUGGAAUCCAUUUUAACAAUGUUUUGGGCCUCACUACUGUAUUUCCAUUUGUUUUCUUAGUUUUUAGCUUAAAUAUUAUACUAAACCUAUAUUUAUUGCUUAAUAAACCAUAAAAUUACUUCUAUAUGCCUUAUAAAGCUGUCCUUCAAGCUCAAGGAAAAUAUUUUGCGAAAAUAAAAAAUUUGAAUUUUUAACAAAAAAACGUGGAUCAACACUCACGGUUUUUAGUCGGUUUUGUAAAUUCGUACAUAAAUCAUCGUUCAAUCCGUUUCUUUUCACCAUCGCCUCACCGUUGAUAUUCUUGAGGGUGGACCCAUUUUAUGUUUUUAACAAUGUUUUGGUCCUCACUACUAAAAUUUUCACUUAUUUUCUUAGUUUCCGGCUUAAAUAUUAUUCUAAAUAUACAUGUAUUGCUCAAUAAACCGUAAAACCACUUCUAAAUGCCUUAUAAAGUUUUCCUUAAAGCUCAAGAAAAAUAUUUCGAGAAAAUAAAAAAUUUAAAUUUUUAACAAAAAACGUGGGUUAACACUCACAGUUUUUAGUCGGUUUAACAAAUUCGUACAUAAAUCAUCGAUCAAUCUAUUUAUUUCCACCUUCGCCACACCGUGAUGUUUUGAAAAUUAAGGUAAGACUUUCUGUUGAUAUUAUUGAGGGUAGAAUCUCAUUUGACAAUGUUUUGGGCCUUGCUACUAUACAUUUUCACUCAUUUUCUUUGUUUUCGGCUUAUAUAUUAUACAAAACAUACAUUUAUUUCUCAAUAAACUGUAAAACCACUUCUAAAUGCCUUUUAAAGUUGUCCUUAAUGCUCAAGGAAAAUAUUUCGCAAAAAUAAAAAAUUUGAAUUUUUAACAAAAAAAGUGGGUUAAUACUCAUGGUAUUUAGUUGGUUUUGCAAAUCCGUACAUAAAUCAUCGUUCAAUCUAUUUCUUUUCACCUUCACGUCACCGUGAAGUUUUGAAAAUUAAGGUAAGACUUUCAAUAUAUAUUCUUGAGGGUAGAAUCCCAUUUGACAAUGUUUUGGGCCUCGCUAAUAUAUUUUUCCACUUAUUUUCUUAGUUUUCGGCUUAAAUAUUAUACUAAACAUAUUUUUUGUCACAUCCCGGCCCGGGGUUCACUGCAUCCCGGGCCCGCUCCACCACCAUAGCACGAUUGUGAGAACCUGUAUUUCUUUUUAAAUAAGUCUUAAGUUAUUUAUUUAGCUCGUGGGAAUUUUACUAAAAAUUUAGAUUGUCACUUUAAAUCCAUUAAAUAUAUAUUUUUUGAAUUGUUUUAUUUGGUCACCAUCGAUCAUAUGUUUUCUACUCUAGGAUAAGGACAAUAUAUUCACAUCUCCACCUUCUGUAUGGUUGGUUUUGUAACUAAGCUACGCAGCCACCUAUUUGACUAGGUGUCCAAUUUAUAAUUAUGCAAACCAAUUAGCCCCCAUGCAAGUCACUUGAGUUGGCCACGUAGUUGAUAGGUGUCACUUUACAUAGUGACUAAGGUUAAGCUGGUGGCAAAUAUGCCGCCUUUAUGCCCCUAUAAAUAGGAGCUAAGCUCCAUUUGUUUUCCUGCCCGAGCUCGCAUGCAACGCAUGCUCUGGAGCUCACGUAGUGUGUACAUAUUAUAUAUGUAGAGAGAGAGAGAGUAAAGUAGAAGUAGCAAGAAGUUUAUAUAUGUAUAAGAGAAAGGAAUAAGAAGCUACACACUGAGAGAAGGCUUGUGGUGUUAACCAAUCGCAUGUUAUGUAUGGAGGUAAUGAUCUCUAUAUUUUAUAUCCUUCUUAUUCUUAGAUUACUCACUGUUAUUCAAAUUAGUUUUUGAGCAGAUUCUUAUUUUGAUCACAUAUAAAGAGAUUUAGCUUUAAGUAUAUAGGGUUUAUGGCUGUUAUGGUAUACUGUACCGUAGGUGGGUUCAAAUACCAAUAAUGUCGGGUUCUGUAUAUUUUAGGGUUGUGCGAUAAGGAAGGAAGAGAAUGGAAAGUUUUCCUACAUAUUUGUAUUAUAAAACAAGAUGGAACAGAAUGUUUUGGAUAUGUAGAUAAAUGGAAUGGGUAUUAGGAAGAAAGACAAGGAAAAUAGAGAGAUCAGGGACACUAAUAUGAGAAAUACAGUUAUUGAGAUUUGUUUGGCUAAAGUGCUCUCACUAUUGUUAAUUCAGGAUUCUGGUUUUGUUCUUUGGUUAUUGAAUGCAGAAAUGAAUGUGGAAAAUAAGAAGAGAAUCGAAUUCCACAAGGUAUGACCGGUGUGGUUGGUUGGCACAUGGAGCUAAGUUCUAGUAUGACUAGCUUAGGACUCCAGGUAGGGGAAAUACGGCAGAUCUUUACAGAGAUUGGUUUUAUUAAAUUUCAUGAAGCAUUAUAUUAUUCUUAUCGAUCUUCUUGGUCAAUUAAUGUGAUAUGGCUUGCUAAUUGGAUAAAUAUUGCCCUUGUGUGUUUACUUGUUUUUUUGUUAUGGAAUUAUUGAUGAAAUUUUGUUGGUUGAGAAUAUAUUGUGGUAUAUGUGAAUGAUAAAUGAAAGUAUUUGUGAAUCAUUCAUAAUUGGUCAUGUGGUUGGAGUUUCGGUGUUGAGGAAGGAAUUAUGGAAAUGAGGGUAGUUGGAAAUGAUCUUUUGUGUAGUUGAGCCAAACUCUUAGCAGGUACCAGGUCUCAGGCAAGCCCACAGUGCACAUAUUCUUUAAGGGUAAUUCGGGACUGGCGACAAAGAGUUUAGGCAAGAUGACUAACAAAAAGGGAAAUUGGGAUGAUUGAGUUAUAGGGGGUUAAUUUGUAUAUUAGAACAUUCAAACCACUAUUGCAGAGGUAAAAUGCACGGUAUGGGAUGUGUAGGUCCGCGUGUUUUAUAUGAAUUAACGGGUAGAGAUGAAGAGUAUUGCAUUGCACUCAUGCAUUGUUAUCGAUGAUGAUUUGAUACUGAUUAUAAGAUGUCAUGAUACUUAAUUUAAUAUUGUCAAUCUACUGUAGUAAGGUUAUGUCCCUACUGAGCUGUUGAAGCUCACCCCUCUAUUGUUAUGCAAGUUUAGUAACUAAACUAUCAAAAGGGUAGACGGGAUGAGACGAAAUAGAAGUGAGGCUAGAAUUUGUAUUUAUUUAUUUAGCCUUGUAAAGAAUUCUCGAUUUCUUUUUAUAUGAAAUUCACUCAUUUAUUCCA